CGUUUUACCUCUCUUCAUUGCACUGUCACUUUCAUGCAUGAAUGUAGCUCAAGGGGCGGGGACGGCUCGCCGUCUCUUGCAGGAAACGACGACGACCCCACCAAUAUUUCCAAAUUUGCCUCCCUUUCGUGGCUUCCAGUUUCCUCCUUACAGCGGACCUUACCCGGAAUAUAGGUUGCCGCCAUUUCCAGGUAUUUCGAACGUCCCUCCUUCAGCACCUGGCUUUCCUGGCUCUUCAGCACCUGGCUUUCCUGGCUCUUCAGCAUCUGGCUUUCCUGGUUUCCCUUCGUUCCCUGCUCCACCAACAUUGCCCAACACUACCCCUUGAAUCCACUGAAUUAAAACUAUCACCAUGAACGAUUACGCGUUCAUUUUCUAAAUAAUUAGUGCUAAAUAAAGGUUAAUGUUUGUAGGAUUUAAAUCUUUUUCUUUUUUUUUGGGGGUGGAAACUUUGGCUUACACACUUAGUUUGCUUUUGGAUCAAAUAAUCAGAGCAUAGAUUGUAGUAUUGAUUAAUGUUGUUGUUGGAUGCAUUAAAUGUGGGCUUGCUUGUAAUCUCUCUCUCUUGCAUUGUAGUUCUGUGUUCAUAUAAGGGAAUGAGAAUCUAUAUCUAUCCUAUUAUGUUUAAUCUUAUUAUAGUACCGUUUUAUGUUUACUAUUUACAUAUUUUGUUUCUAUUAAUUUAAUUGGAUAGUAGGAUGAAGCAAUUAAUUAUGAUAUUGUUAUCAACGGAUUGCAUUUUAUGGAUAAAUUCUAAUCAUAUUUAUAAAACGAAUUAUAUUUAAUACAUUAACAUAAACUGAUUGCUGGUCGUACAAUAAACCCAAUAUAGGAAACUCUAUAAAAAAGGAAAAUGCAGCAAACAAGUGUGGUGGAAAAAAUGAAAAAAAGAAAAGAAAAGAGGAGCACAAUAUAUGCCCAAUAUGCAAAAAGCGAAGAGGCACGGUAGAGCAAAGGUGCACAGUCCAAACACUAUGGUGGAAGUGGAAAAAUUCAAGGGGUAGUUCUAGCAGGUGGUGGGGAGAAGGACGGAAUUGUAGUUGGCAAAGUGGGGAUUGAAGGCAAGCUGGGCAAGGGUGGCAGGGUGGGAAUGGUAGGCAGUGGUGGAAGAGCGACGGGGUUGGGUAGAGAUGGUUGCGGCAGGGUGGGCAUCGUUGGCUGUGGGAGAUUUGGAAUCGAUGGCAACGGUGGCAAUGUUGGCAGCUGAAGAAGAUGACGCGCAGCUAGGCCAACGUUGACGCUUGAAAACGAUAAAGCCAUGAACAGUGCUAAAACAAAGCAAUUGAAAGAGGCCAUAUCCAAGAGGUUUGAAACUGAAAAAAGUUGUCGUCUUGAUAAUAUAUAUAAUUUGAGUGAGUGAGGAAGGUGACGGAGAGGCCCUGGUGUUUGGGGCUUAAAUAGGCCUUGGAACACUGGGAAUUGAGCACUCUGGUUGGAGAUAGGAAAAAGAGAGGUUAGCUCAUCUUCUCAUCGGCAUUGGACUGAAAAUUGGUGAACUACUGGUGCAUGUGGUUGGCACAGAAGCUACCUGAAUGAAGCACUGAAGUCAUCCACUUGACCAAACCAUGGAAGUUACCAAUAAAGUUGGGUUAUCUAACAUCAGCUCAGCUCAUUGGUUCUUCUAACUAAUGCUUAUGUCUAAAUGUUUAAGAUGAUUGGUACCGUAGAGAAUCAUUUAAUUAUAAUAUACAUACUAUUGAAGUUUCUACGUAUCAUCGAAUGAUUAAACAGCUUUUCACCUGAAUAUCCUAAAGUGUAUCAAAAAACAUUGGGUUCUUCCUGUCAAGAAAAAUAAAAUAAAAUCGAACAAGCAAUAUUUUAAUGAACGAAAAACUUGAAAAUAGGGGAAAAAAAAAACAUUUUAUUAAUUUUCAAUAUUAUUCUAAUUAAUUUAUUAUUGUUAACUACUACAGUAAAAUAACAAAAAAUAUUAUUUUUAUUAACACUUAAUAUAAUAUUUAGUACCUGAACUAGACUUUUUUUUUUCUAAUUUGAUACUUAAACUUGACAUUUUUUUCUUAAAUUGGUACUUGAUCUUUUUUUGGGUUCAAUUUGGUACCUAAACUUGACUCUUUUUCUUAAUUUGGUAUCCAAUUUUUUUUGUUCGAUUUGGUACUUGAACUUGUCAAACAUUUUACAAAUUACUCCAAUAUGCUAACAAUGAUAUUUUUUUAUGAGGUAGCAAAAAUAAUAAACGUAUAACCGAUAUGUGACAAAUGAUAUAAUAAUUUUUUAUAUAUAUUCAAUUUCUUUUAGUUUUAUUUAUUUAUUUAAUUAUUUUAUUAAUUGAAAACAAUAAAUUUCUUUUAAUUUGAGUUUUUAAAACUCUCUUUUUUAUUUAAUAUUAAUUCAUUAAGCAUAGCUCAAUACCUAUUUUUUUAACAUGAAUUUCCUCUAAUACUGACAAUAUUUUUGUAGCAUAACAAAAAAAACACCAUUAGUGUUUUGCGUAAUUUGUAAAAUAUUUAAUAAAUAUAGGUACCAAAUUAAACCUAAAAACAAGUUUAGGUACUAAAUUAGGGAAAAAAAUUCAAGUUCAAGUAUCAAUUUGGACCCAAAAAAAUUUAGAUACCAAAUUAAGAAAAAGUGUUAGGUUCAAGUAUCAAAUUGGAAAAAAAAGAUUUAGGUACCAAAUUAAAAAAAAAAACUAUAUUCGGAUACUAAAUGUUAUAUUCAGAUACCAAAUUAAAAAAAGAUUUAGGUACCAAAUGUUAUAUUAAGUUUUUUUUAUUAAUUAUUAUCUUCAAAAUUUUCAAAAAUAAAAUUGAAUGAAAAAAUUUAGUGGUAAAGCUUAAUUAUCAUAAUGAAAAAAAAGUCAACUAAAUAUUAAUUUAUUUUUUACACAUUUGAAAUUUAGCCCCUAGGAAAUUAGUUUCUCUAUAUUUUACAUUUAAAAAUAGAAGUCUAAUUGUUGACAGAAUUAAAAUUCUUCUAUUAAAUUUAGGUUUAUCACAACGUUUUUUUUUGUUAUAUGAUUACGAAAUAUUUCUUUCAUUUAAAAAUGUCACACUAAUAAAUUUAACAAGAGAAUUUUAACGGUCUCAACAACAGUUGAAUUUAAAUUUUGAAAUAUAAGAAAUAGAAAAACUACAUUCCUAAAAAUAAAAUUAAAAAUUUAAUUUUAAAUAUACGAGAAGUAAGAGAACUUGAAACAUAUUUUUAAAUUUUUUGUUGAACAAACAUAUUUUAAACAAGGUUAGCACCAUGUCUUAAGGGUAAGGCCUCAUCCACCAUCCACCAUUGGUGAAAACACACUCAGUAGUCAGUUAGGACACGUUUAGUUCGCUGUAUUGGAUUAAAGGUGUAUUAAAUUAGUAUUUAUAAUAAAGUUGCCAUUACUAUUUUUGGAACAAAGUAUUUAACAAAAUUUUAGAUUCGAACUCAAUUUAAUUCGAUUUAUGAAUAAAUUUAAUUGUUAUCUUUCUAAAUUAGAUAUAAUAUACAUAGAUUUUAAAUUAUUAUUAUUAUUUUAUUGGCUUUUCAAAUCCCCCUUUAAUCCUGUUUUGAGAUCUGGUUGAGCUUUGGGUGAAGAUAUAGCUACUCAUUUCUCUCCAUUAUCUUGUCUAUAUUUAGUUUUCUUUUUCUUUUUCUUUUUCUCUCAGCAGCUAAACUUGUUUGUCACUGCUUUUAAUAAUGGUUAAUCACAGUUACUAAUUUCUCAUUUUUAGAAAAAGGUAGUGAGACGAAUGAAUAUCAAAAGGGAUUAACAGAAGUACCAAUAAAAGAAAAAAAAGAGUUAGUGGAAUAAAACAUAAAUAAAUAAUCCCAUAAUAAGCAAUAACAAUGAAUAAAUAAAAGUACAUCAAAUAAUGGGAAAACUCCCAAUUUUACAGACAAACAUAUAAUGGUAGUGAAGAGUAAAAAAAAGAAAAAGAAAAAGAAAAAGAAAAAGCAGACUUAAUCUAUAACAUCAAACACAAACAGCUAAUAAGUGGGUAUAAAUGAUAGGACCAUAAAACAUAAAAUCCAAUCCAUAGGCAUCCAGAAUUAAGGCAGAAGAUUCAUGGAGUAGACGGUGCAGGUGGCGGGGAGAGGAAUGGGAUGGAAGGGAUCGUAGUUGGGAUUGAGGGAAAGCUUGGUAAUGGUGGCAAAGUGGCCCUUGGUACAUUCGGCAAAGUGGGCAUGUUAGGCAUGGCGGGGAGUGGAGGCAUCGCGCCUGGCCUCGGCAAAGACGGUUGAGUCGUUGGCAAUGUUGGUAUCGUUGGCAUUGGCAGAGUUGGGAUCAUUGGCAUUGGAGGUAACUGAGGCAGUUGCAGAAGAUGACGGGCUCCAAACCCAACAUCAAAGCUUGCAAAUGACAGAGCCAGGACAAAGCUCAAGAACAUGUAAUUGAAAGAAGCCAUUUUUUUUUUUUGUGUGUGUGAGAGGAUUCACUGAAGAGACUUGUGAUGGUUGGAGUGAAGAAAAGAAGGCGUGGUGGGGGGGAUUAUAUAAGUUUAAUGCAGGAGGGUUGGGCUGUCUGGUUGGUAAGAUUUGGUUCAGGUUGUGAUUUAUGGUUGGGAAAAUGUGGAAAACUUAAUGAUUUUGCAUGUCUUUGUUAGAUUAACUCCAAAUCCAUCUUCGUCUGAGAAUUGUCAAAUUUAGUUGCAAUGAGUCACCAAAGUACCAAUUAUGGACGGAGUCAAAUUGUUCUUUGAUUUGUUUAAUAAGAAACUAGUUUUGGAUCUCUUCUGGGUUUAAACAAAGGCUUAAUUAAUAUGCUAAUUUCUCUAUUGUUUGCCUCGUAGACUAUGUUCUACCUUGAUUUUUAGGAUCAAUUUUUAUAAAAAAAUAUUAUUGGUUAAAGUAUCAUAGAAGCCUUUGUAUUAGAAGUUCGAUUGCAUUUUAUCCCAUUUAGUAGAAAAAUGAGCAAAUUAGUCCUUAUACGCUAAAUUAAAGAGUAAACUAGUCCUCUCGACUAUUUAUACUAUUAAAAACUAACGUGAUUGACAGAAUAAUCAGAUAGUUAUACUUGGCUUGCCAUAUGUACCUCAUGUCGACGUACAAGAACUAGUUAUUAAUAGUAAAAAUGAAUGAAGUAGUUUUUAACAGAAGGACCAUUUUGCUUUUUAAUCUAAUAUAUAUGGAUUAAUUUACUAAUUUUUUUGUAAUCCAACUCUUAAUGUAAAGGCCUCCAUUAUACUUUUACCAAAUAUUAUUGCAUUUUAUUUUAAAUAACUAUUUUCAUUUUGGUAUAUCCAUAACUAUCCUAAUCCAUUUUAAGUUGAGUUUGAUCUUGUUUAGGGUAGGUGGUAUUUAUGUAAAAUCCUCCCAAAAAUGAUGAGUCCAAAAUUCGAACUGAAUCCAAAUGUUUAGGAAAAAUAUCACUGCCACUUCUUCGAACUAUUUAUCGAUAAAUAAUUGUUUGUAUCUAAUGUUGUGAAUAAACUUAUAUAAUGAUAGUAAGCAAAACAUUAUACUUAGUUAAAACUUUUUUAAAAUAUAUAAAUAAUUAAAAAUUUUAAUUACUAAUUUUAAAGUUUAAAUCCAUGAUUAAAUUGGUGCCACGAGUUAAUUAGGUACGAAUUCAGUUAGAAAAGAAUUAAAAUAUUUUUAUAUGUGCAAAAUAAGUUGUAUUAUUAUGAGGAUAUUUUUAUUUUUGGUAAAUUACACCCAAUGCUACUAAAAUACUAGUAAGUUUAUAUUUUGGUUACUCAACUUCAAAAAGUUACAAAAAUGGUUAUUGAACUAUUCGAAAGUUUUCAUAUAAGUCAUUUGGUUAUUAAAAUUGCUGUUAUAUGGCCUUCUCUAUUUGCACUACCUGCACCAAUCAAAAGUUUUCGUUCUCUUUAUCUUUUUUUUGAGAAAUUGUUCAAUAUGUUUGCAUAAAUAUUUAUAUAAAUUGAAAUGAUUUGAACAUAUGUGGUAAAUUCAACUCGGUGAAUAACAGUUGAAGGAAGAUUAUAAAAUGAUCCAAAAUACACGUAUGUAUUUUUAUAAAAGGACCAUGAUCAAAGUUUGUUAAUUAUUAUUGGAACUUCUAAAGAUAUCAAAAUAUAUUUACCCAAAAUUCUUUCUCACUCAUGUCACAAAUCCGUGAAUCAAAAUAUAAACAACUUUCUUCUUUGACCUCUGAUACUAGUUAACAAAUCAACUUGAAUAUACGGUAUGUUCUUUUACUAGUUGAUGUGUAUUGAUUUACCAUGCCGAUUGUAAAAUCGUACUUGGAGUUCGCUAGUCAGAUUUAAAAAAAAUUGAUAGCUAAACGACUUAAAUAAAAACUUUCAAAUAUUUUAAUUACUUGAAUAAAAAUUUUCGAAUAAUCUAAUAAUUUUAUAACAUUUUAGAAUUAAAUAAUCAAAAUAUAAAUUUACUAAUGAAUUAAUGGCAGUCUAGGUUACCCGAUUUAUAUUAUAGUUCCGGUUGCGGAUUUUAGCGGUUGGUUGGCGAGGGCGGGAUAAAUUCACCUUUUGGGCCGGCGGUUAACUUUCACUGGCACUUGUCGGUUGUCGAAUGGAACUACAGACACGUGACGGUUAUGCUUGUGUAUCCAUCUUGUUUUCUGAUAGCUGUGUAUCCAUUUUUUAUUUCAUCGAGUUGUGGUCCGCAGACUAAAAACAGCUCUGACCGUUAGAUUUCAUAUUAUCGAACGAUCAGUAAUUGACUAUUCAUAUUUAAUUAAAAAGAUUAUCAGUGAGUGAGUCAGAGUGAUACGUUAGCUAAUAUCAUUUAAAGAAAAGAAGGUUCAACCAUUUUUCAAUGUUUUGAUUUCGGAGCAAUAAUUGAGGGAAUCCGAAAAUGGAGAAAACUGAUGGAAUUGGGAAAGAAAAUGGAAGCACAGAAGAAAAGCAAAGUUUCAAAGAUGGAUCAAUUUGUGGGUAUAAUUCGCUUCACCACCUCUUGAGUGCAAAUCUUAAGCCUCAAAUCUACCAGGUCUUUUCUUUUUCUUUUUUCCCGCUUUCCAGGUUGUAAUUUAUCUGUCUUCACUUUGUUGAUUUAAUUGGGUAUUUUUGUUUUUCUUAAUCUGGCCAUGCACUGGGCAAAAAAAUCCAAUCUUUCCUGUUAUUUUUCUUAUAUAUAUAUAUAUAUUGUAAAAGCAAAUUUGAUCAUGAAAAAGGAAACCCCAGUUCAAAUUGUCUACUAUGAAUCGAUUGGUUAUUGUCAUUUUGGUCAGUUUUUGCCACUGAAAUGAUCAUUGCAGUCGAUCCUAGAAUUUGUAAACAGUUUAUCUCAUUAACAAGUAACAUGUUUUGCCUAUUAAAAGUCAAAAUCUACUGAUCUUAUUGCUGAUGAAUGUAACAAUCUUUUGGAAUUUUGUUAUGGUUUAUUAACAGGAAGUCAGCCGGUUGCUUCUGGGGCUGAAUUGCGGGAAAACACUUGAAACUAUUGUUCUACCUGAAUCAGCUAAAGCCCUCUCUUCAAAACAUGAUUUUGAUCUUCAGGUGCCUAUUUAUUUAUCCAACAUUACUGCAUUAUAACGAUUCGUUGAUAUAGAGAUCCAUCAUCUUAGCUCAUCAAUAUUGGAAAACAAUAACCGCAAGGUUGGCCUGGCUGAAAUCAUAAUACUCUUAUAAAACAAUCAAAGUGAAGGAACAAUAUAUGUUUUGGACACGUUAGAUAUACAAGGCACUACCAUGCAUUUUGACUGCAAUUGAAGAUUAUGUUAAUCUUUAGGCAGGGUUAGUUAAUCUAUGUCAUAUGUUCUGAUAUUUGUAUGGAAUAUUUUUCUUCCUCCAUUUUCCCCCUUUUCCAGUUUCUAGUUCAUACAUUUGAACAUUUGGUUAUAAUAGUUCUAAUGUAAAAUUUUAGUACUACCAGAAUCUCCUUGAAAUAUGUUGAUUUUCAUUCAAUCCGCUCUUAUCUAAGUGGUUGAAAAACAUCCCUUUUCUCAUUACAAAAUUAUUCUCUCACCGACCGGACCUGAGCAUACUUGUAGCUAUUAUCUCCGUAGAUUUUUGUCAUUUCAAUACAAGUAUAUUGUAGAAGGCAGUUAUAUGUGCUUUUUCAUUUCAAAUCGUUCCAGGAUUUCAAAUUUUCUGCUGACCAAGAGUUGUUAAGAGAACCCCGGGUAGUAAGGGUCGGUCUUAUUCAGAACUCCAUUGCUCUCCCAACCACUGCUCCCUUUUCAGACCAGAAAAAUGCUAUCUUUGAGAAAUUGGGACCAAUAAUUGAUGCUGCUGGUGCUUCAGGAGUCAACAUACUAUGCUUGCAGGUAUGGUCAAUUUUAUUGAUCGAUGCAUAAUAUUCUGAAAAUGCAAAUUAAUGAAUCUAUGAUGCAAGUUCAGGAAGCAUGGAUGAUGCCAUUUGCCUUCUGUACACGAGAAAAGAGGUGGUGUGAAUUUGCAGAACCUGUUAAUGGGGAAUCUACACAGUUUCUUCAGGAAUUUGCACGCAAGUAUAACAUGGUCAUUAUAAGCUCAAUUCUUGAGAGGGAUAUAAAUCAUGGAGAGACUCUCUGGAAUACUGCUGUUAUAAUUGGAAAUCAUGGCAACAUAAUAGGCAAGCACCGUAAGGUAAAUGCAGUAGUUUAUCUGGGUUUGGGUUUAUGUUCCUUGGAAUUUUUAUUGAUUUUGCUUAAAUGACUGGCUUCUGGCAGAACCAUAUUCCUAGAGUUGGGGACUUCAAUGAGAGCACGUAUUAUAUGGAAGGAAAUACCGGGCAUCCUGUAUUUGAGACUGCUUAUGGGAAGAUUGCUGUUAAUAUAUGUUAUGGAAGGCACCAUCCUUUGAAUUGGCUAGCUUUUGGUUUGAAUGGUGCUGAGAUCGUUUUCAACCCAUCAGCCACGGUCGGUGAACUUAGUGAACCGAUGUGGCCCAUUGAGGUUAUUCUUUACCCCCAUUUCAUAUAAUACUUAACUAUCUAAAGAUUGGAUGUGAUACUGAUUUAGUAGAGAGUCAUUUAUCUAAUAUUACAAGUGCAAAUGACAUUUUGAUACAGAUGUUAGCAUUAUAUCAGUUAAUGCCUGCCUACCACUGAACUGUCUUCUACAAGGCGUUUGACAUAUUAUUCCUUUAUAUUACAGGCACGUAACGCUGCAAUAGCAAACAGUUAUUUUGUUGGGUCAAUCAAUCGUGUAGGGACUGAGAUUUUCCCCAACCCAUUCACCUCAGGGGAUGGAAAGCCACAACAUCCAGAUUUUGGCCAUUUCUAUGGAUCUAGUCAUUUUUCGGCACCUGAUGCUUCCUGCACACCAUCACUCUCCCGUUAUAAGGAUGGACUGAUGAUCUCAGAUAUGGAUCUUAACCUCUGUAGGCAACUGAAAGACAAAUGGGGGUUCCGAAUGACUGCAAGAUAUGAGUUAUAUGCAGAUACGCUUGCCAGUUAUCUGAAACCAGACUUUGAACCCCAAGUCAUCUCUGAUCCCUUGUUACAUAAGAAGUCUUCUUAAGUACCUGUCUUCUUAAGUUCCAGGUACUAAUUGCAGCUCAAUGUAUGAAGCUGAUAAAUGGAGAUGAAAAUAGAAACUGUAUUGAUUUAUCAUAUUGAAUCAUCCACAAGAACAAGUUCGUUGUGUUUGUGUUUGCAAGUAUUUGUGCCCUUUUCUGUUAGCAAUUUCUGAUCACUCCACCAGCUUCCAUUUUUAUUAAGAUGAAGAAAAAGGAAUCUUGGUGUCUGCAUUUGGUGAAAAAAUAUAAAAUGAAGUGGAAUGAAUGUUGACAAGCUCACCGACUCUCGUUUUCCCUCUUUUUUCUGUCUGUUUCUAUAAAAAUUUUCAAGUCUCAUCAUCUAAGCUUAUCCACAAUUAAAAAAUAUAUACAUACAUAUAUAUAUCUACUACUUAAACAGACUUUUCAAAGCCUAUGAAUAGGCUGUGAAUGUCUCAUUAUGCAUUUGAAGUGUUAAGCAAGUGGUGUGCGUGGAAGCAAUAAACAAGUAUAUGCUUUCUUAAAGUUUUGGUAAUAUUGAUCCCUUGGCAUCCAAGUAAUUUUUUUUCUUUUCAAUUUAGUUCCCCCUUUUAAUUGUUCAAGCUAUUAUAUAUUUGCUUCUUCGAUUGCUUUGUUAAGAAGUGUCAAAGCUGGUUAAUUAGCAGCACAAGACUAUUACGGAUGUCAACUAGCUUAAUUAUAGGGAGAAAUUCAAAUUUGUGAUCCAAGAUCACUUCUAAAGGAAGGUGGUGUUGAUUUUGCAGUUUGGGGUUACAAUUACUUUUUGAACUCGGACCAAACAUAACUAAGGUAGCACAACAAAGUAAUAAGUUCAUAAUGACAGAAUUUGGUAUACAAGCUAAUGCAAUUCAAAAGCUUAGUAGGAGCAAUUACUACACAUGGAGUCUUUAAAUAAGUUUUAUCUGAAAAGAAAAGAGUAGGAGCAAUUACAACACAUGGAAUCUUUAAAUAAGUUUUAUCUGAAAAGAAAAGAGUGGUGGAGUGUAGUUAGUGGUGUUAGAAUUGUGUGACCUGAAUUCUUAUUAAAAUAAAAUAUAGUAGUAAAAUAAAAUAAAAGUAAAAUCCAUAUAGAACUACAUUUCUUUUGUUUUAUUUUAAAAUAAUGUUUUUCAACCUUAAUACACUUCAUCUAUUUGAUAUUAAUUAGAAUAAUGUGUUUCAACUUUAAAUAUAUGGUUUUGCAAGCCUAUAAAUAGACAUAGUCUACUUCUCUUGUAUUAAUUUUAAUUCAACAUAGUGAAUUAUCUUCUCCUCUGCUCGUGAUUUUUUUUCUAAAAGAGUUUCUAUGUAAAAAUCUGUAUGUUCUUUUUGUUUUUUAUUGUCAUUAUCGAUGUUCUAUUUUUUAACAAUUUGGUAUCAAAAUUUUCGGGUUGUUCAUCUCAAUCACGGUAAUGGCAUCUUUAAAAUAUGAAAUUUUGCUGUUGGAUCACAACACCAGAUUCUCGUUGUGGCAGAUAAAGAUGUAGAUAGUUAUUGUGCAAACAGACUUAGAGGAUGCCCUACUAUGGAUAGAUAAAAUGCCUUCGACAUUAACGGAGGAAGAAAAGAGACGUAAAGAUCGAAAGGCGUUAACACAGUUACAUUUGCAUUUGUCUAACAAAUUUUACAAGAUGUGAUGAAGGAGAAGACUAUUGCUGCAUUAUGGAAGAGGGUGGAACAAAUAUGUAUGUUGAAAACUCUAACUAGCAUGCUGCAUAUGAAGCAUCGUCUUUAUGCUCAUCGUUUGGAGGAAGGUGCGUCUAUGCACGAACACUUAACAGUGUUUAAAGAAAUUCUCUCAAACUUGGAGGCCAUAAAGGUUCAGUCUGAUAAGGAAGAUCUAAGGUUGAUUCUACUUUAUUUGUUACCCCUGUCUUAUUCAACCUUUAGAGACACGAUUUUGUGUAGUCGCGAAUCUCUCAUAGUUGAUGAGAUGAAGUAUCUUGUGGUUAAACCUGGCUCUCAAGGAAAGAGUCUCAUUGUUUGUGAGAGACAAAAUCGAAAUGUUGAUGAUGAUUGUAGAAAGAUACAGGAACGAAAUCCUCAUGGUAAAUUUAAGGGAAGAUUGAAGUCUUCAAAUAGAGGUAAAACUUGUAACUUCUGUAAGAAGAAAAGGCAUAUUAGAUCUGAGUGUUUUAAGCUACAGAACAAGAUCAAAAGGGAGGUUGUGAAUCAAAAGAGAAAAUAAUUAGAAAAAUUCGGUAAACCUGAUGUUGUAGAAGACUAUAGUGACGGUAAACUUUUAGUCACUUCUGUCAAUAAUUCUAAAGUGAACGAGGAGUAGAUCCUUGAUUCGGGCUGCACUUUCCAUAUGAGUCCCAAUCGGGAUUGGUUUAUAACUUACAAAACAGUGUCCGAAGGUGCUGUUUUGAUGAGAAAUAAUGCUUCGUGUAAAAUCGCAGGUGUUGGAACAACUAAAGUUAAGAUAUUUGAUGGAGUUGUCAGAACACUUAAUGACAUGCGACAUAUUCCAGAAUUGAAGAGAAAUUUGAUUUCAUUGAGUACUCUUGAUUCAAAAAGGUACAAAUACAGAACUGAAAGUGGAGUUUUGAAGAUUUUCAGAGGUUCCCCCGUUGUGAUAAAGGGCAGAGAAAGAUUGCAAAGUUAUAUGUUUUGCAAGGUUCUACUAUUACUGGUGAUGCAGCUGUCACUUCCGUUUCCUUGCUAGAUGAUGAUAUUACUAGACUUUGGCAUAUGUGCCUAAGGUAUAUGAGUGAGAAUGUCAUGGUAGAAUUGAGCAAAAAAAAGACUUCUUGAUAGGCAAGGAAUUUGCAAACUAAAGUUCUGUGAGCACUGUGUUUUCUUGGAAGCAAAAAAGAGUUUGAUUCUCAAGAGGAAUCCAUAACACGAAAAGAAUGUUGGAAUAUAUUCAUUCUGAUAUGUGGGGGCCAUCUAAAGUGCCUUCGAGAGGUGGAACUAAUUAUAUGCUAACAUUUAUUGAUUAUUUUUUCAGAAAAGUUUGGACGUUUUUCCUGAAGCAGAAAAGCGACGUGUUUUCUACAUAUAAUUCUUGGAAAACUAUGAUUGACAAACAAACGGGAAACCAAAUAAAACACAUUCGCAUAGACAAUGGCUUAGAGCUCUAUUCUGAUGAGUUUAAUGAACUAUGCAAGUUAAAAGAGAUCGUGAGACACUUGACAGUUCGUCAUACUUCAUAGCAAAACGGCGUUGCAGAAAAAAUGAAUAGAAUGAUCUUGGAGAAGGUUCGAUGUAUGUUGCCGAAUAUUAACUUACUAAAGUCGUUUUGGGCCAAAGUAGCCUCUACUGCAUGUUUUUUGAUCAACCAAUCUCUAUCUAUUUCCAUUGAGAAAAAGACACUACAAGAGGUAUGGUUUGGUAAUCCUGCUAAUAAUUCUAAUUUAAAGAUCUUUGGGUGUCCAGCGAAUGCUCAUGUUAAUAAUGGAAAACUGGAACCGAGAUCCAUAAAAUGUGUUUUUCUUAGCUAUAAAGCUGGUGUAAAAGGGAAUAAGUUAUGGUGUUCUGAAAAUAAAAAAGUUAUGAUUAGCAGAGAUAUUUUCGAUGAAACUGUUAUGCUACCUAGCUUAUCUCUUAAAGACUCUUCCAAUAAAGAACAACAAAAGUAGGUGGAGCAUCAGAUUAAUCCAGAAUCUACAACAGAGUCGAAUCCUUAAGCCAGUACAUAAAUUCAGAAUAAAGUUGCUUCUUUACCACAAUACUCUAUCACCAAAAACAGAAUUAAAAGAGAGAUUAAACCUCCAAACAAGCAUGCCAAGGCUGAUCUAGUUGCUUAUGCUUUAAAUUUGGUUGAAGAUAUAGAUGCAAACCAAGAGCCAUCUAAUUAUUCUAAGACGGUUAACUGUAAAGACUCAGAAAAAUAGAUGUUUGCUAUGCAAGAAGAGAUAGAAUCACUCUACAAAAAUAGAACAUGGGAUCUUAUGAAGCUUCCUAAAGGCAAAAAUGUUGCUUGUUGUAAAUAGGUGUUUAAAAAGAAAGAAGUGACUCUAGGAGUUGAAGAACCCAAUUAUAAAGAAAGGCUUGUUACAAAUGGUUACAGUCAAAUUUUAGGUGUAGGCUUUACAGAUGUGUUCUCUCCAGUUGAGAAGCAUAGUUCGAUUCAAGCUUUACUCGGUGUUGUGGCCAUGCAUGAUUUGGAGCUUGAGCAGUUAGAUGUAAAAAUUGUAUUUUGGCAUGGAGAACUUGAAAAAGAUUACAUACAACAACCAGGAGGCUUUACAGUCUCAGAAAAUAGGACUAUGUUUACUUGCUGAAAAGGUCCCUUUACGGUUUGCAACAGUCACCAAGAUAGUGGUACAAGAGGUUUGAUUCAUUUAUGACUUCUCAUUAUUUCAAAAGAAGUAGCUUUUACAGUUGUGUUUACUUUAAGAAAAACAGUGAUGAUUCUUUUGUUUAUCUACUCCUUUAUGUUGAUGACAUGUUGAUAGCACCGAAAGAGAAAAUAGAGAUAAGAAAGAUCAAAGCCCAACUAAGUGAAGAAUUUGAGAUGAAAGAUUUGGGACCAAUAAGGAAGAAACUUGGUAUGGAGAUUCUUAGAGAUAGAAAAGUAAGUAAAUUGUACCUAAGUUAGAAGGGGUACAUUGAGAAAAUUCUUUGCAGGUUCAAUAUGCAGGUGCUAAACCUGUUAGUACUCCUUUACCAACCCAUUUCAGACUUUAUCGGCUUUGUCUCCACAAUCAGAUGAUGAGAUUGAGUACAUGUUACAUGUUCCAUAUUCUAGUGCAAUGGGAUAUCUUAUGUAUGCUAUGGUUUGUUCACGUCCAGAUUUAUCAAAUGCAGUUAGUGCAGUUAGCAGAUACAUGGUGAAUCUUGGUAAAUAACCUGAAAAGUAGUUCAAUGGAUUUUAAGAUACUUACGAGGUACUACUGAUGUUUGCUUACAAUUUGGAAGAACUAGAGAUGAAUUCAUUGGGUAUGUUGAUACUGAUUUUGCUGGAGAAAUUGAUAGAAAAAGAUCUCUCACAAGUUAUAUCUUUACAAUCGGAGGUUGUACAAUCAGUUGGAAAGCUACUUUGCAAACUACAGUCACUUUGUCUACCAUUAAAGCUAAGUACAUGGAGAUUACUGAGGUUUGUAAAGAAGCCAUUUGGUUCAAAGGAUCUUUAGUGAACUCAAUGAAGACUUUCAAAUCAGUAUAGUAUUUUGUAACAGUCAAAGUGUUAUCUUCCUUACAAAGGAUCAAAUGUUUCAUGGGAGAACAAAACACAUUGAUGUUCGAUAUCAUUUUGUUUGUGAUAUUAUUGCUUGUGGUGAUAUUGUUGUGAGAAAAAUUAGUACUCAUGAAAAUCUUGCAGAUAUGAUGACUAAGUCACUUCCCAUAACUAGGUUUGAGCAUUGCUUAGACUUGGUUAGUGUUUAUUGUUGAAGUUAAACCUUAAGGGGUUUUAUAGAAGAGGUGAAGAACUUGUUCGUUGAGAGUUCGCGAUAAAGAACUUGUUCAUUUAGAAUUCGUGUCAAGAUGGAGAUUGUUAGAAUUGAGUGACCCGAAUCCUUAUUAAAAUAAAAUACAAUGGUAAAAUAAAAUAAAAGUAAGAUCCAUAUAGAACUACACUUCUUUUAUUUUAUUUUAGAAUAAGGUUUUUCAACCUUAUUACGCUUCAUCUAUUUGAUAUUAUUAGAAUAAGAUGUUUCAACCUUACUACAUUCCUUCUAUUAGAAUAUGGUUUUACAAGCCUAUAAAUAGACAUAGUUUACUCCUCUUGUAUUUAUUCAAAUUCGACAUAGUGAAUUAUCUUCUCCUUUGCUUGUGGUUUUUCCUGAAAGGGUUUCCACUUAAAAAUUUGUGUGUUCUUUAUUUUUCUUUCUUUUUUUUUCUUUGCGAUACAUUGUUAUUAUCGACGUUUUAUUUUUUAACAAGUGGAAAUGAGGUUGAACCACCAAUUGAAGCUAAAGGCAUAGGAAAGUGACAAGUUGAGGUUGCAAAGGCAAUAUUUAGUCUAAUUGUUACUAUGGAGGACGAAUACAUUAUAAAACGAGGGGUUAUUCGCUUUGCAAAUAGAAGCUAUGGCUAAAACGGUGCUUAGAACUAUGGCCACAGUUUCAACCAUGAAAUUAAAAGUGCAUAGAAAAUAAAAAAGAACAUUGAGAUUGUUUACCUUGUUCAACUUUAGUCUACGUCUACGGCGCCUUGCCCAAAGCAAUGAUCCACUGUCUUUCUCAUAAUACAACCAAUUAUUUAAGUCCUAACAAUGGUCUAACGCUUACCAAUUUAGUGACCUCACUAUUGCACAAAGACUAGAUGAAUCUCCCACUAAGCUUCCCCCUUGAAAGCUUAACUCUGCAACUUAAGGGACCCUUAUUGCUUACAAUAAUAAUGCACACAUGCACAUUCCUAACUUGAACAAAGUUGUGCUCUAUCAAGCUCUUAAUCUCUCAGUUACUCUUUAACCUAGACAAAACUUAAGGUUUGUUUACAUAAUAGAUAAUCUAAUCACUUUUUUAUAAAGUAAGACUAAAAAUCAGCAUAAGAUAAUAUUUCCAUAAGAGUCUUGAUGUAAUCCAAAGUCUUUAACUAUAGAAAUGUCUUUAGUUGAUCUGCAAGUAACGUUACUUAAUCUAUAAGAAACCAAUUUUCAAGUAUUCAAUUUCAAUUCAAUUGGUCUUCAUGUUUUAAGCUCUAAUUCGUCCAAAUUAUUCCAUUAUAGUUAACACAAUACUUUUGUUCUAAAAUUUGCCAACUCUUUAAAAUAGACAAGUAAGAUAAUAAAACAUUGUUUAUAGUUGUGGUCACUAUUUCAACCAAAGAAAUAGCCACAAAAUUAACGUUACUUUCAAAUGUGUCAACAAUCUUUCCCUUUGGCAAUUUAUGAACAAAACACAUACAGGGAAAAAAUUAUCACAGUUACAUAAUCUCCUCCUAAGUAACUCCCUCUUAAUCAAACACUCUUCAUUAAGGUAAUCAUUAAGUACAAGCUUGUUAACGAGUUCCAAAACAUGUAAGAGCAAGUGUACAAGAUUACUAGACUGGGUGAGUAAAGUAAAAGAAUCAUCAUACCAAAUUAUCGAGAAUUAGAACUCUAAGUUUGUGAUUAUUGUUGCACAAAAAAAAAACCCUCAUGCCCAUCAUAACACCAUCAUUUUACCACAUUACUCCCCUAUAACACCUCAUGCCCAAUCUGAUUGCCAGAUCUGGACUAUAGGGUGCUACGCUUAUGACUGAAUUUAACUAACACAUUCGUAAACACAUUCCAAAUGUCAAAAUAACUUAAUAAUAAAAACAUUUAUAGCACAGAUAACUAAUUGACUUUUCCAAAUGAAUUUAAUACAACUAUAUCCCCUUAAUAUAAUAUUUUUACAAUCUUAGCUUAACGAUUUUGAAAUAUUUACUUAGACUUGGAAAUAAUGUUCUAUGACCAAACUUAAUUACAAUCAACUCUGACCCUAAGGCUCUAUAGGUCGUUCCAUUGUAUGCAUAUUACAACUAAGAAGUAUGACUGCUUGAGUUCGAUAAAUUCUGGCAUGGUCCUUCCUCGAAUCCUUGAAUUGUCCACUAUAUUUGCAAUUCAUAAUAACAUAAGUAAGUUCGAAUGAAUCUAGUGAGUUGUCCAUCUUGUAUUAGCACAACAUCAGUAUGCUUGUACUUCAUGGUUUUGAAUUCAUAUUUGACUUGUCUGUACUAGAACAAUUCACCAAUCUCAUUGGCGUAGUCUUAACAUUGCACAAAUUGGCUCAACUUGUACUUGGCACAUUAUCUUUAAUGACCUCAUCACUUAUUUACUUGCGCAUUUUGGAUAACAAAUUAGCUUGCUCAACUGCAUGGGAUCUAUCACCGGUGACUUGAAAUUAGGAGUUUCAUAAUCGGUUUAUGCAUGAUCUUGCACAUAUAAAGCUUUCACUUAUGAGAUUUCAUUUAUGUAUAGUCAGAGAUAUUGAAUUAUAGAAGUUUAACAUUGUUGUGGAUUAUACUCGCGGAUUCUUCCUUGAAUGAUUGUCUUUCAGACUCCCAUGCAAUUACUUCCUUGAGAGAUAAUCUUCACGGAUUAUUACUUACAAACUUAUGAAAGAAAACCUAUAGAUAAUUCCCAUAGCACAUGACUUGCAUUAAUAGAUACGGAUUAUUACUUGAAGGUCACCUAUAACAUCUUCCACGAAAUGCUUCUUUUUUAUUCUUGCUACAACUUCACUGACAUUAACAGAAUCCUUAAUAUCAUCAACAUCUAUGACUUCAUGGAUUUCUAAGUCAGGUUACUCAAUCACCUUUUUCGUGUAAAAAACAAUGGGUAUAAUUUUAGGCAUUGUUUGUGCCCCACGUUCCUCUUCAUCAUCAGCAAACUUUUGAGUUGUUUCAUCUUGUACCACAAUGUUAAUUGAUUCCAUGAUCUUCUUGAAAUGCUUAUUGUAGACCCUAUAGGUCUUGCUUCUAUCUGAGUACCCAAGGAAGAUUCAUUAAUCAUUCUUUACAUCAAAUUUACCUUAAUAUUCCCUGUCCAUGAGAAUAUAGCAUAAACUGCCAAAAAUAUGAAAAUAUUUCAUAUUAGGUUUCUUACCAUGCCAUAAUUCAUGUAUGGAGCUAUGCAAGUCUUUAGCUUUAUGUGAACCUUGUUGAUAACAUAAACAAUAAUGUGAACUGUUUUAGCCCAAAACCUAUAAGCUAUUCCCUUUUUGUUUAAAAUUACUCGAGCCAUUUUUCGAAUCUUGGAGACAACAUUGUUGAGAGAAAUAGCCACAAACCCCAAACAUGAACCAUAAAGCAGAUAUAAAAAGUACCAAAAGAAAUCUAUUUCUUAUUUCCAUUUUUAAUAACAUAACUUAAUUUAAAAUUUCAAUUUCGAUAUAAACACAUUUUUUUUCAAAUUAAAAUUGAAUAGGUAUGAAUCAAAUUAACACAAUAUUUUAAAUCUUUAUUACUUUUAUUUGAAAUAAAUACAUUUGAAUUCAACCAUUCACUAAUUCCCUUAUUGAAUUCCCUUAUUUAUAUAGUAAACAUUCAUCUUUUAAAAAAAAUUAAUUAAAUAUUUUUAAUUUAUUUUUAAAUUAAUUUUAUACACAAUAUUAAUCCAUACACCGUAAGGGAAAAGAAAACUAGUUUACAUAUAUUAUUAUUAUUUUAAUUGUGGAUAAGCUCAGACUAAGAGAGUUGGAGAGAUUUUUAGGAACAGAGAGAUAAAGUCAGAAAGAGAGAUAAUUGUGCUUAUUAACAAAUACACGGCAUUAUAAUUUUUAAGGCCCACCAUGUAAGAGUAAAUGUUCAACUUAACAAGGCUCAAAAAAAAAAAAUGUUCAACUUAACAGUUCAUACAUACUUGAUCUCUAUCCAAAAGAAACUCGAGCUUCUAAAUUCAAGAUACCCUAUUUCAGGCCUCCUACUAGCUUAUGAACUUAUUUUAAAGCACCAAAUAAGACUUCAUUUGCAAUCUUGGCUCCCCUUUCUUUUGCCAUGUAAAGCCCUAUAUGGUGCAUCAAUUCCUGCAACAUUAAAAGCAGCAGCAUUCAAGUUAUUCUUGAUGCAUAUGGUGUGGGGAUCUCUUGUUUCCAUGUAACAAUAUGGGACAUUUUACGAAACGAAAUACCUGAGGCUGAGGCAGAGCUCCUUUAGUGUUUGUGGCGAUGUGAAGAGGAACGUCAAAGGUUGUGCAGGCACGCGAAUACACGAUAACAUCCUUGAGCGGAGCCAGAAAUCCUCGAUUCCUCACUGAUAAUGUCGAACACACGAAAUCCAGCACACAUAUAUCUGUGCACACCCCUACUACCAAUAUCUGCAACCAUCAUAAUCAUUGUUUAUAUAAAUUCAUCAUAUCCAACAAUUGAUUAAACAAGCUCCACACUAGGGUUGCAAUGUAAAACCAUUCUUGACACUAGUAUAUUCUACUAAAAAUCUUCUAACAAGUUCUUACAGCUUCAAUGUGAUUGUUCUUCACCCAAUCCGCAAAAACAUUUGAACCAUCAGCUUCCAUGGAACCCAGAUACCCAUCAUAGCAAUCUUUCCGCCUGAUUGUCACGUUUGUUUCGUUUUGUAUCCAUUGCAAAGCUGCAUUUUAUUUAUUUGUUUUGCAGAAUCUUGAUUUAGAAAUUCAUUAUAUAAAGCUAAAAAGGGAGAAGUAAAAAUAUAUAUAUGUAGGCACCUGGAACCAAAUUAGAUUCAUCGGUGCCUUGAAUGCAGUGAGGAGGAUAAGGAUCCUCGAGCUUGUCAGGAUGAUGAGAAUCAAGAAACGCCAUAACAGGCAAUUUCUUGUCGCAGAAAAGUCUUGCCAGCCUCACUGAUUCGCUGAUCGUUCUUGAUAUUUGUCUGUUGGGUUCUCUUGGGGCCUAAAACCCAUAAUAUUAGUGCUAUAAACUUCCUGAUUCAAUGCACAAAGCAAAUCCUGCAUAUAUCCUCUUCGACAUAUACAUAUACAUGCGUGUGUAGUUUAAGGGAAUCGUUUAUUACAUCACAACUUAAUCGAAUUGAUUCAACUAUUGUUUUUUUAAAGUUAGCAUCUAACAUAUGUGAAAUCGAAUCCCAGAAUAUGGGAUCGAUUACUUGUAACAAAAUAUAUAUCAAUAGUUCAAGGGUCAGGCACUUUACCAGGUUUCCAGCACCGACAGUGCAGAAGCCAUUGAUGAUAUCGACAAGAACAAGGCCAGUGACAACAUCUUCAGGCAAAACAACAAGCUCCUGCUCAAGAGGCAGCUCGUUCUUCAACACAUCAAUGGUUUGGGACACCAUUUUUUGAAAUUUAGUAACAGGGGACCUCGAAAUUGCAAAACCAAAGUGAAGGAGUUUCAGUAGAGCAACUUCAGUUAUAUUGAAUUUUGAAAACGGUAGCCAUGCUAGACUCCAAAAAGAGCUUGAAAAAUAUCUCAAUUAUUGCUGUAUUUCAAAAGACGUUGUAUCAAAGGAUAAGACUUGGGGAUCUAUCCAGAAUAAUUUUCGAGCUUCAGUUUCAACUUUUAUCGAUUAUACUAGUUUCAGCCGUCAUGCUUGGCUACAUUUGAUUAUUAGAAGGAUACAUACGGCAUAAAUAAUUUAAUAUUUUAGGAAUAGCUUCAACUUUUUGUGCUGCUUUGGAUGAAAAGUCUUAUUUCAACAGAAAAAUGUCUAUUAGGACACAAUUUUAAAUUAAGAUAUUUUUUAAGCUCAGCUCCAAUAUAAUUGAUUCUUUCCAUUUUGAUAAAAAAAAUUAUUUUUACAUUCUUACAUUCUUACAUUCAAGUUUAAACUCGAGUUUGUUUAAAUUUAUUCAUCAAUUUAUAUAUAUAUAUAUAUAUAUAUAUUCAAGUUUAAGCUUCAACUUGAAUUUAAUGUCUUUUGCAUAUAAAAUUCAUAUAUUAAUUAAAGUUAAUAAAUUACUUAUACAAUUAAUAAAAUCUAUAAUUAAAUUGGUGUUACGGAAUAACCGAGUACCAACUUAGUUAUUGCGUAAUGAAUGUGAAGAAGUAAAUCAUUAUCUUGGCAAUAAUGAGCCAAGCUAAUAUUUGCAGUGAACCCACCUACUAAGUAGUCAUGCAUUAUGAAAAGAACUCCCAAUUUUCUGACAGACACAGCCCUUUUGAUCAUUUCUUCAUAUGUACCUGCAGUAGGAAAAGAUUAAUAUACCCUUUUAUUAAAGGGUUACUAUUAUUAUUUUGAUGAUUUUUUUAUUUUUUUUUCAUACUUCUACAUUUUUUUAAAUAAAAGAACUAAAACUAAGAUACUUAAGAAUUGAACACAUGUUUAAUGAAUUUAUAAACAAAUAUUUUACUACUACUACAAUAAUAAUAAUUCAUGAUUAAAUUUUUAAAAGAUAACUUUUAACAUAAAAUGUUUUCUCUUACCAAAUUUACGUAUUUAUAAUAUUUAUAAAACCCCUGACUAAAUUAGUAUCAUGGGUUAACAGAGUACUUAUAUCAGUGAGUACUGAGCUUCGACCAAAAUUAAAACAUUUUGAUUAUUGAGAUAGUUUGCUCUUCAUAAAAAUGUUAAAAUUAUAUAAUGAAAUUGUUACUAUAUUUAAAUUUAUAUAAAAAUAAAAUAUGAUUAUUAUAUAAGAUGAAUGUAAGACAUUGACACCAUAUUUGGUUCGCGUGAAUGACCGUGUUUAGCUCGAGUUCACAAUACCAUUACUUGCUUGACUAGAUUAAUUAAAUGGUAGGAUAGGUAUCUUAUAAUACCUGUUCAACAUUAUCACCAAAGAAUAGUUGUAGUUGGACAAAAUAUGUUAGCGAAUAAAAUAAAUAAAUAAAAAUAUAUAAAAUAAAAUAUAAAUAGAAUAAUUUAUAUUUAGUUUUUUAAAUACGAAAAACAAUCAAACUCGUAACAAAAGUUAAAAUAAAAAAGAAGAAUAGAGUUUUUACUAAACGUUGAGAUAGAUUUGACUACUCCUACAGUACUUGGAGAAAUGUAGACAAAAUCUACGUUAAAGCAGCAAUCGAAUUAAUUUGAUUAAAAUCAAAUCAAAUUGAUUAAAAUUAUCCUUUUAUAUCAAUAUAUUUUGUAGGGAAAAAUAAAUUUCGUGUUGGACUAAAAUAUUUGUAGGUUAAUACAAAGGCCCAAGCAGUCCAAAUAUUUCACAUCACCUACAUCAUGAGGGUGCACCCCAACCCGAUCAAGUAUAAACCUACACCCUUUUUGUGUACGAAACAAGGUUACAAGCUUAGUCAUUCAAUCAUUUUUUAAGAGGGUUCUUGUAAUAUCCCGAAUUAAGGCCUAAUCGGAAUAAUGGUUUUGGGACCACAAAUCCGAGAUAGAAAUAAUUAUUUUAUUAUCAUUUUAAGGUCUAUGGCAUGAUUUCAUGAUUGUGAAAAUUUCUUUUAGAAAUUUUAUCGAUAGAGGGUCCAAUUUGAUAUUUAGGAAUAAAUUGUAAAAGUUGUAAAAUGUGUGUUCUAGUUCACAAAGGUACUAAGUACUUGUGAGUAAUGGGUUUUUAAAGUGGAGGUCCUUGGAUAGUAAUUAGACCAUUAUACUAUUUUGGACAAAAAUACCUAAAGGAAGAUAAAACACCAUAGUUUUUAAUUAAGGGCAUUUUGGUCAUUUAGUUAUUAAAAUGAAUUAAAAACAAAAUUAAAAGUCAAUUUUUGUCCAUCUUCAACCCCGUGGCUGAAUUUCACAUGAGGAAGACAUAGCUAGGGUUUUUAAAGCUUCCAAGCUCGAUUGUAAGUCCAUUUUAGCCCCGUUUUUAAUGUUCUUUACGUUUUUGGAGUCUCGGUAACUUGAUUAAGCUUAUUCUAGCAAUAAUUUAACCUAGGGUUUAUAUUUGAAAAAAUACCCAUAGGUGAAAUGUGUUUAUUUUGAUGUUUUAUGGUAGAUUAUGAAGCUUGAAAUUGUGUUAAACAACUUUUUCUAAGCGAUUUUACGUGAAAAUGAGUAAAACGACAUAAUCAAUAAAAAUACCUAAUGUUCAUAAGUACAUGUUAGAGUGAGAAUUUGAUGUUGCCAUAGAAGGGGAAAAUGAUCAGAAUGUCAUAAAACAUAAGAAAAUAGGAUGAAGUUUAAUUUCCGAGCUUUGAGGCAAAAGUGUAAAUAUGUAAAAGUUUAGGGGCAAAAAUGUAUUUUUCCAAAGUUUGAGUCAAGGACUGUUUUAAUAAAUGUGAGUAUUAAAUAAGCUAAAUUUAUUAUUUUAGAUCAAGAGAAACAAGAUUCAAGUCAUGAUCGAAGGAAAAAUAAAGUUUACGAAGAAUAGGCUCGAUUUCUAAGUUGUGAUAUCCCGAAUUAGGGCCUAAUUGGAAUAGUGGUUUCGGGACCAAAAAUACGAGAUAGAAAUAAUUAUUUUAUAAUUAUUUUGAGGUCUAUGAUAUGAUUGCAUAAUUGUGUGAAAAUUUCGUGAAGAAAUUCUAUGCAUAAAGUGCUUAAUUUGAAGUUAGGGACUAAAUUGAAUAAGUUGCAAAACUUGCAUUCUAGAAGUUUCUAGUAUGAAAUUGCUUUGAAAUAUUAAUUAGGAGGUCUUAAAUAUAAUUUGACCAAUUUCUAAGUUUAUGGACAAAAAUUGGACAUGGAUGGAAUUUUUGAAAGUUUAGUAAGGAAUGGCAUUUUGGUCAUUUGGAUAUUAAAUGAAAUAAAAUAGGAAAAAUAACAAAAAAAUUAUCAUCUUCUCCAUAUUUUGCUGCUGAAUUUUUCUCUCCACCAUAGCUAGGGUUUCAACACUUUUAAGCCUUGAUUGUAAGUGAUUUCUAUGCCCGUUUUUAAUGUUCUUUACAUUUUUGAAAUCCCCGUAGCUCGGUUUACCUGUUUCUACCAAUAUUUUGAGGUAGGGUUUAUUUUUAAAAAUUUACCCAUGAAUGAUAUGCAUGAAUUUUGAUGUUUUAUGGUAGAAUAUGAAGCUUGAGAUUGUGUUAAACAACUUUUGCUAAGUGAUUUUACGUAAAAACGACUAAAAUGACAUAAUCGGUAAAAAUACUUAAUGUUCAUUAGUACAUGUUAGAGUGAGAAUUGGAUAUUUCUAUAGAAGGGAAAAAUGAUCAGCAUAUCAUAAAACAUAAGAAAAUAGGAUGAAGUUUAAUUUACGAGAUUUGGGGUAAAAGUGUAAAUAUGUGAAAGUUUAGGGGCAAAAUUGUAAUUUUUCCAAAAUAUGAUUUUGGGUUUAUUUGAAUAAUAUGAGUCCUAAUUAGGCUAUAUUUGAAAUGAUAGGGUAAGGAAAAUUGAAAUUCGGGCUAAAAUCGGCAAAAUACUAAGUUGUGGACAAAAUGGUAAAAAUAACCAUUUUCACAUACGAGGUAAGUUCAUAUGUAAAUAAGGUAACAUAAUUUUUAUUUUAAGUGAUUUAAUGUUAUUUAUAUGACAUGAUACUUAUUAUCAUGAAAUAUGAUGUUUUGUGAAUUAUUAUUUGGUGAUAUGCAAAUUAUGUGAACAAUUUAAUAAGUAUGAGAUGUUAGCAAAUAUUGAUUUCUAUAUUCUGCAGAAGGCGAUCAAAAUGUGUAAUUGAAAAGAAUCCAGUUGAACCUUAGGAAUAGACUAGGAUAUUUGGGCAUCCGAGCUCGUUGAGUUGAGUCCGAGUUCACUUAUCGAUGCGAAUGUCCGAGCUCGUCGAGUUGAGUCCGAGUUCGUGAGAUGUAACUAGGCAUCCGAGCUCGUUGAGUUGAGUCUGAGUUCACUUAUGGAUGCGAAUGCCCGAGCUCGUUGAGUUGAGUCCGAGUUUGCUUAUGGGCGGGUUACAUGGUAGCAUGGCUAUAUAUGUGGCACUUAUGUGCAAACUUUCCAUGUAUCCGAGUUAUAUUUCGAAGUGUUCAACGGGUAAAAUUCUAGUGAAAUGGAAGAAUACUCAAGAUGCAAGUGACGUAUUGGUAAGUGUUGUGGAAUGGGCACUUUGGACAGGUAUGUACUUAACCCUCGGGUUGAGACUUGAUACGACAACAAUAAUGUAGUAAAACAAUGAAUGAUGAAUAGAAAUGUGAUAUAUGUUUUGGUGAUAUUAUGCUAAUGUUUGCUUUUGUUAAGUUAUUUGUUAUUUGCAUGUGAACUUACUAAGCAUUUAUGCUUACUCCUUCCCUUUCGUUCCUUGUAGUUUUGACAAGCCGGUUUGGAGAUCAGGACGGUCGAAGGCACGCUCACACUAUCAACGGACCAUCUCGGUAUGGUGGCUUGCAUAUUUUGGGAAUAUGGCAUGUAUAGCAUUAUAAUCCUUUUGUGUAUAUAAUCUUAUGAUAUAGCUCAUGGAUGGCAUGGAAAUGUUUGAGAAUGAUUAGCUAUUGGAGUGGCUAAUCGAGAUUAUAUUUGAUAACACGUACGCUUUAUGUGCUAACUAAGCUAUGGAAAUCCAUAAAAUGGUGAAAUUAGCUAUAAAACAGAAUCACAUAGCAGCAGUGACGUAAAUUUGAAAAAUCACUAAAAAUAGUAGAAAUAAAAUUAGAUGAUAAAUAAAAUAUGUAAUUGAAGCUUAAUAAUCUAUUUUCAUGUGGAAGAAACAAAAUAGGUAAAAAGUUUGUAUUUUAUGAGAUAUUUACGUUUUGGUGAAACAGGGUCAGAGCGAUUUCUGGAUCCCCUGUUCUGAUUUUAUAAAUUCACCAUAAAUUUUGUAAAAAUAAUUAGGACUCACAUUUUAUAUGUAUGGAUUCCUUAUUGAGACUAGUUUUAUGAGAAACAAACGGCAUAGUCAUUGAAACUCUAUAAAGGGAGAUAUCUGAUUCGUAAUACACAGGGGUCAGAGUAGCCGAACCUUGAAACAUGGGAGACUUUAACUAAUAAACUGUACUAAUUGGCACGACCAAAAAUUCUAGAAAAAAAUUAGUAAGUAGAUAUAUGAGUCUAGUUUCAAGAAAAAUAUACAGAAUUAGAUUUUGAGUUUCGUAACUCGAGAUAUGAAUUUUUUAGCGACUGUGAUGCAGUUAGCCAGCUUGUCUGGAAAUUCUAAAAUAAAUUGUUUGAGCUGUUUAAUUAAUAAAUUAAGUCCGUUAACUUCUCGUGCUCGACUCCGACGACGGUCUCGGGUACGGGGGCGUUACAAACAUUUUGUAUCGAGGUAAGUUCAGGUGUAAAUGUAGUAACAUAAUUGUAAUUUUAAGUAAUUUAAUGUUAUUUAUAUGAUAUGAUGAUUAUUAUCAUGAAAUAUUAUGCUUUGUGGAUUAUUAUUUAGUAAUAUGAAAAUUAUGUGAGCUACUUGAUAAAUAUGAAAUGCUAUCAAGUAUCGGUUCUGACAUUCCGUGGAAGACAGCAAAGAUGUAUGAUUGAGGAAAAUCCCGUUUGAACCUUAGGAAUAGAUUAGGAUACAAGUGACAUGUCACUAGGAUAUUUGAGUUCCGAACUCGUUGAGUUGAGUCUGAGUUCGUGAGAUGUAACUAGGCAUCCGAACUCGUUGAGUUAAGUCCGAGUUCACUUAUGGAUGCGAACGCCCGAGCUCGUUGAGUUGAGUCCAAGUUCUCUUAUGGGCGGGUUACAUGGUAGCUUGGCUACAUAAUUACAGCAGGCUAUUGAGUUUGUCUAGCUGCGGGUAUGGCACUUAUGUGCAUGCAAUCCGUGUAUCCAAAUUAUAUUCUGAUAUGUUCAACGGGUGAAUCUUAAGUGAAUAAAGAGAAUACUUAAGACGAAGGUGACAUGUUGGUAAGUGUGGUGAAUAAGAAAAUUUGGAUAGGUAUGCGCUUAAACCCUCGGGUUGAGAACUUGGUAUGAUGAAAUCGUGGUAAGAUAGUAAAUGCAAAUGUAACAUGAAUGUCUUGGUGAUAUUUAUACAAAUGAUGUUUUAUGUUGGAUUGGAAUGAUUAUGUUACUUGCUAUUUACAUGUGAACUUACUAAGCAUUUAUGCUUACUCCUUCCUUUUCAUUCUUUGUAGUUUUGAGAAGCCAGCUUGGAAAUUGGGAACGGUCAGAGGAUCGCUCACACUAUCCGUGGACCAUUUUGGUAUAGUGGCUUGUAUAUUUUGAGUAUGACAUGUAUAGCAUUAUAAUCAUUUUGUGUAUAUGAUUUUAUGAUAUGGCUAUUGGGUGGUGAGGAAAUGUUUGGUAAUGAUUAGCCAUUGGAAUGGCUAAUCAAGAUCAUAUUUGGUGUUAUGUAUACUUAAUGUGCUAUCUAAUCCAUGGAAAUUCAUAAAAAGGUGAAAUUUGCUAUAAAAUAGUAUCAUACAACAGCAAUGACGUGAGUUUUAAAAAUCACUAAAAAUAAUAGAGAUAGAAUUAGAUGAUGAAUAAAAUAUGAAAUUGAAGCUUAUUGAGUCUAUUUUCAUAUGGAAAAAACAAAACAGGUAAAUGAGUUGUAUUUUAUGAGAAAUUUGAGUUUUGGUGAAAUAGGGUUAGAGUAAUUUCUGUAUCCCCUGUUCUGAUUUUAGAAAUUCACUAAAACUUGUACAAAAAUAAUUAGGAGUAAUACUUUAUAUGUAUAGAUUCCUUAUUGAGUCUAAUUUUAAUAGAAAUAAGCGGUAUAGUCAUCUGAAUUCUGUACAGAGAGAAAAGUGAUUCGUAGUGAACAGAGGACAGAGUAGUCAAACACUAAAAUAGGGGAAACUUUAACUAAUAAACUGUCCUAAUUGGCCCUACCAAAAAUUUUGGAAAAAAAAUUAGUAAAUAGAUAUAUGAUUCUAGUUUCAGGUAAAAUUUACAUAUUUUAAUUUCGAGUUUCUUAACUUGAGAUAUGAUUUUUUUUAGCGACUGUGAUGCAGAUGGGCAGUUUAUUACGAAAGGUGAAAUAAAUUGUUUGAAACUGUUUAAGUGAUAAUUUAAGUCUGUUAACGCCUCGUGCUCGACUCCGGCGACGGUCUCAGGUAAGGGGGUGUUACAUUUUGUGGUAUCAAAGCUAUGGUUUAGUCAGUUCUCGGACUAACGUGGCGUAUGUAUGGGUUUUGCUAUACAUGCCAUAUUUAUAUUGUGAUAGUGUGACAACUUCUGACCUUUAAAAUGAUUUUUUUUAUAGUAAAUGGAUCCCGAUCCAGAUGUGGCCGAUGAUGUAGAGAGAAAUGCACCAGAUCCUACUGAAGGGGCGAUGCCGACUGAAAACUGACCUCCUACUGUUAGUCAAGGAGGAGGAGAAGGGGCUCAGGAAGCCUUUCUCCAGAUGAUGAAUGUAUGGUACACCGAGUUCGUUCGUACGAACCCGAAUGCUCAACAACCUCCCCCACCUCCCCCGAUUCCUCAACCUGUACCCCCGAUGCCUCAAGAUAUGAUCUGAUGAAAUUUCAUAGAACCCCAGUUGACAGAAUUCGCAAGCAAGGGGCUGAAGAAUUCAGGGCAAAUGUUGAUGAUGAUACCGAGAAAGCAGAAUUUUGGCUUGAGAAUUCUAUUCGGGUAUUUGAUGAAUUGUCUUAUACACCUAAAGAUUGCUUAAAAUGUGCUAUAUCCUUGUUGAGAGAUUUAGCCUAUUAUUGGUGGAAGACAUUGAUUUCAAUGGUACCGAAAGAGAAAGUGACUUGGGAGUUCUUUCAAGAAGAAUUUUGGAAGAAAUACAUCAAUGAAAGAUUUGUUGAACAGAAGCGUAAAGAGUUUCUCGAGUUGAAACAAGGUAACAUGACAGUUACUGAGUAUGAAAGGGAGUUCGUUCGGUUGAGUAAGUAUGCUAGAGAAUGUAUUCCUUCAGAGGCUAAAAUAUGCAGACGAUUUGAAGACGGGCUCAAUGAAGAUAUCAAAGUAUUUGUGGGAAUUCUUGAGUUGAAAGAUUUCGUAGUACUUGUUGAUCGGGCUUGCAAGGCUGAAGAACUAGUUAAAGAAAAGAGAAAGGCAAAGGCUAAGACUAGAAAUUUGAAGAAAAGACCGAUGAGCAGUGCAUUCCCACCCAAUCUAGAAAAUACAUAGAUAUGUAUUCUCGUUCUCAUGUUUCGGCCAAACAUUCGUAUGAGAAUCGUAAGAAGCAAAGUGCGGGUUUUAAAUCUCAGACUACUUCUGUGGCUAGUGUGGGAAAUUCGAGAUUUGUUAGACCCGAGUGCCAACGAUGUGGUAGAAGUCACCUUGGUCCAUGUAGAACUAACGAAUGUUACCAGUGUGGUUCUCCAGAUUAUUUUAUUAGAGAUUCUCCCAAGAGAAUUGAGAAAGAAAAAUUUCAGAGUGCAAAACCUAGUGGUGCAGUUUCGAGAGGAAGAUCUUCGAGCAAUGCUGGGAAUGAGGCAAGCGGCAAGAAUAUAGUCAGAGAUUCAGCGUUUAAAUCUAAAACUAGAGCUCCGGCUAGAGCUUAUGCCAUAAGGGCGUGUGAAGAUGCUUCAUCUCUCGAUGUGAUCACUAGUAUUUUCUCUCUUUAUGAUGUUAACGUUAUUGCUUUGAUUGACCUCGAUUCUAUUCAUUAAUAUGUGUGCAUGAAAUUGGUGUCUAAUAUGAGUAUACCUGUUGAGUCUACGGAAUUUAUGAUUAAAGUGUCAAACCCGUUAGGCAAAUGUGUUAUAGUUGAUAAAGUAUGCAAGAAAUGUCCUUUGAUGAUUAGAGGUCAUUAUUUUCCGGCCGACUUGAUGGUUUUUUCGUUUGACGAAUGUGAUGUUAUUUUGGGUAUGGAUUGGUUGACAUUGCAUGAUGCUAUAGUAAAUUGUAAACAAAAGGUUAUUGAAUUAAAAUGUGAAAAUGGUAAAAUUCUGCGGGUUGAAUUAGACGAAUCAGAGGCAUUGCCUAGUGUGAUUUAUUUGAUGUCGGCUUAGAGAUAUUUGAGAAAGGGUUAUGAAGCUUAUUUGGCGUAUGUGUUGAAUACAAAUGAAUUUGAUAAGAAAAUUGAAUAAGUGCCGAUUGUAUGUGAAUUCGCGGAUGUAUUUCCAGAAGAGUUGUCGGGUUUGCCUCUUGUCAGAGAAGUAGAAUUUGGUAUUGAGUUGAUACCGGGAACAACUCCGAUCUCGAUUGCUCCAUAUAGAAUGGCACCAACAGAGUUGAAAGAAUUAAUGUCGCAGUUGCAAGAUUUGACUUACAAAGGCUUUGUGAGGCCGAGUUUUUCGCUGCUCCAGUAUUAUUUGUGAAAAAGAAGUAUGGCUGAAAUGUGCGAUUAAUUAAAUCCAUAAAAACAGCAGGAGCAUUUGUUAAACCGAAUGGCAUAACUAAAAAUUCAUAAUGGUCGUACCUUGUUCUAAAAGAAGUUUUAGGCACAUCUGACUCUUUUACUCGCAGCUGGUAAUAUCCAGACCUCAAGUCAAUCUUUGAAAACCAUGUUGCUCCUUUCAGCUGAUCAAACAAAUUGUCAAUUCUCGGCAACGGAUACUUGUUCUUGAUUGUUACCUUAUUUAACUGUCGAUAGUCUACACACAAUCUCAUAGAACCAUCAUUCUUUAUCACAAAUAAUACGGGAGCACCCCAAGGCGAAAAACUUGGUCUCACAAAGCCUUUGUCAGUCAACUCUUGCAACUGCGACUUUAAUUCUUUCAACUCUGCUGGUGCCAUUCUAUAUGGAGCAAUCAAGAUUGGAGUUGUUUCUGGUAUCAGCUCAAUACCAAAUUCUACUUCUCUGACAGGAGGCAAACCCGGCAACUCUUUUGGAAAUACAUCUGCGAAUUCACAUAAAAUCGGCACUGAUUCAAUCUUCUUCUCAAAUUCCUUUGUAUUCAACACAUACGCCAAAUAAGCUUCAUAACCCUUUCUCAAAUAUCUCUGAGCCGACAUCGAAGAAAUCACACUAGGAAAUGCCUCUGAUUCGUCUGAUUCAACCCACAGAAUUUUACUAUUUUCACAUUUUAAUUCAAUAACCUUUUGUUUACAAUUUAUUAUAGCAUCAUUGAAUGUCAACCAAUCCAUACCCAAAAUAACAUCAAAUUCGUCAAAUGACAACAACGUCAAGUCGACCGGAAAAUAAUGACCUCUAAUCAUCAAAGGACAUUUCUUGCAUACUUUAUCAACUAUAACACAUUUGCCUAACGGGUUUGACACUUUAAUCAUAAAUUCCGUAAACUCAACAGGUAUAUUCAUAUUAGACAACAAUUUCAUGCACACAUAUGAAUUAGUAGAAACAGGGUCAAUCAAAGAUAUAACGUUAACAUCAUAAAUAGAGAAAAUACCAGUGAUCACAUCAGGAGAUGAAGCAUCUUCACGUGCCCUUAUGGCAUAAGAUCUAGCCAAAGCUCUAGCUUCAGAUUUAAACACUGAAUUUCUGACUAUAUUCUUGUCGCUUGCCUCAUUCCCAGCAUUUCUCGAAGAUCUUUCUCUCGAAACUACACCACUAGGUUUUGCACUCUAAAAUUUUUCUUUCUCAAUUCUCUUGGGAGAAUCUCUAAUAAAAUGAUCUGGAGAACCACACUGGUAACAUUCGUUAGUUCUACAUGGACCAAGGUGACUUUUACCACAUCGUUGGCACUCAGGUCUAACAAAUCUCGAAUUUCCUACACUAGCCACAGAAGUAGUUUGAGAUUUAAAACCCGCACUUUGCUUCUUACGAUUCUCAUAUGAAUGUUCGGCCGAAACAUGAGAACGAGAAUACAUAUCUCUAGAUUUUCUAGAUUGCGGUGGGAAUGCACUACUCAUCGGUCUUUUCUUCAAAUUUUUAGUCUUAGCCUCUGCCUUUCUCUUUUCUUUAAUUAGUUCUUCAGCCUUGCAAGCCAGAUCAACAAGUACUACGAGCUCUUUCAACGUAAGAAUUCCCACAAAUACUUUGAUGUCUUCAUUGAGUCCUCUUCAAAUCGUCUGCACAUUUUAGCCUCUGAAGGAAUACAUUCUUUAGCAUACUUACUCAACCGAACGAACUCCCUUUCAUACUCAGUAACUGUCAUGUUACAUUGUUUCAACUCGAGAAAUUCUUUACGCUUCUGUUCAAUACAUCUUUCACUGAUGUAUUUCUUCCGAAGUUCUUCUUGAAAGAACUCCCAAGUCACUUUCUCUUUCGGUACCACUGAAAUCAAUGUCUUCCACCAAUAAUAGGCUGAAUCUCUCAACAAGGAUAUAGCAUAUUUUAAGCACUCUUCAGGCGUACAAGACAAUUCAUCAAAUACUCGAAUAGAAUUCUCAAGCCAAAAUUCUGCUUUCUCGGCAUCAUCAUCAACAUUUGCCCUGAAUUCUUCAGCCCCUUGCUUGCGAAUUCUGUCAACUGGGGUUCUAUGAAAUUUCAUCAGAUCCAUACCUAGAGGCAUCGGGGGUACAGGUUGAGGAAUCGGGGGAGGUGGGGGAGGUUUUUGAGCAUUCGUGGUCGUACGAACGAACUCGGUGUACCAUGCAUUCAUCAUCUGGAGAAAGGCUUUCUGAACCCCUUCUCCUCCUCCUUGACUAAUAGUAGGAGGUCGGUUUUCAGUCGGCACCACCCCUUCAGCAGGAGCUGGCGCAUUACUCUCUACAUCAUCGGUCACAGCUGGAUCAGGAUCCAUUUACUAUAAAAUAAUCAUUUUAAAAGUCAGGAGUCUUCACACUAUCACAACAUAUAUAGGGCAUGUAUAGUAAAACCUGUACAUACGCCACGUUAGUCCAAGAACCGACUAAACCGUAGCUCUGAUACCACUAAUGUAACACCCUCUUACCUGAGACCAUCGCCAGAGUAGAGCACGGGGCGUUAACAGACUUAAAUUAUCACUUAAACAAUUUCAAGCAAUUUAUUUCACCUUUUGUAAUAAACUGUCCAACUGCGUCACAGUCACUAAAAGAAAUCAUAUCUCGAGUUAAGAAACUCAAAAUUAAAAUCCGUAAAUUUUCCCUGAAACUAGACUCAUAUAUCUACUUACAAAUUUUUUUCCAGAAUUUUUUUGGGCCAAUUAGUACAGUUUAUUUGUUAAAGUUUCCUUUGUUUUAGUGUUUGACUGCUCUGACCUCUGUUCACUACGAGUCUCUUUUCUCUCUGUAUAGAAUUCAGAUGACUAUGUUGUUUGUUUGUUUUAAAUGUAGACUCAAUAAGUAAUCUAUACAUAUAAAUUAUGACUCCUAAUUAUUUUUGUACAAUUUUUAGUGAAUUUAUAAAUUCAGAACAGGGGAUUCAGAAAUCGCUCUGACCCUGUUCCACCAAAACUCAAAUUUCUCAUAAAAUACAAUUCAUUUACCUGUUUGUUUCUUCCAUAUUUAAAUAGACUCAAUAACCUUCAAUAUAAUAUUUUAUUCAUCAUCUAAUUCUCUUUCUACUAUUUUUAGUGAUUUUUCAAACUCACAUCAUUACUGUUGUAUGAUACUGUUUUAUAGCAAAUUUCACCUUUUUAUCAAUUUCCAUGGAUUAGAUAGCACAUUAAGUAUACAUAACACCAAAUAUGAUCUUGAUUAGCCAUUCCAAUGGCUAAUCAUUACCAAACAUUUCCUUACCACCCAAUAGCCAUAUCAUAAAAUCAUAUACACAAAAUGAUUAUAAUGUUAUACAUGCUAUACUCAAAAUAUACAAGCUAUUAUACCAAAAUGGUCCAUGGAUAGUGUGAGCGAGCCUCUGACCGUUCCCAAUUUCCGAGCUGGCUUGUCAAAACUACAAAGAAUGGAAAUGAGGGAGUAAGCAUAAAUACUUAGUAAGUUCACAUGUAUAUAGCAAGUAACAUAAUCAUGCAAUCCAACAUAAAACAUCAUUUGUAUAAAUAUCACCAAGACAUUCAUGUUACAUUUGCAUUUACUAUCUUACCACGAUUUCAUCAUACCAAGUUCUCAACCCGAGGGUUUAAACGCAUACCUGUCCAAAUUUUCUCAUUCACCACACUUACCAACAUGUCACAUUCAUCUUAAGUAUUCUCCUUAUUCACUUAAGAUUCACCCGUUGAGCACAUCGGAAUAUAAUUUGGAUACACGGAUUGCAUGCAAUAAGUGCCAUACCCGCAGCUAGAUAAACUCAAUAGCCUGCGAAAAUUACGUAGCCAAGCUACCAUGUAACCCGCCCAUGAGCGAACUCGGACUCAACUCAACGAGCUCGGGCGUUCGCAUCCAUAAGUGAACUCGGACUUAACUCAACAAGUUCGGAUGCCUAGUUACAUCUCACGAACUUGGACUCAACUCAAUGAGUUCGGAGCUUAAAUAUCCUAGUGACAUGUUACUUGCAUCCUAAUCUAUUCCCAAGGUUCAAACGGGAUUUUCCUCAAUCAUACAUCUUUUCUGUCUUCCACGGAAUGUCGGAACCGAUACUUGAUAGCAUUUCAUAUUUAUCAAGUAGCUCACAUAAUUUGCAUAUUACUAAAUAAUAAUCCACAAAGCAUAAUAUUUCAUGAUAAUAAUCAUCAUAUCAUAUAAAUAACAUUAAAUUACCUAAUAUUACAAUUAUGUUACUACAUUUACACCUGAACUUACCUCGGUACAAAAUGUUAGAAAUCGAGCCUAUUCCACGUAAACUUUAUUUUUCCCUCGAUCACGACUCGAAUCUUGUUUUUCUUGAUCUAAAAUAAAAAAUUUAGCUUAUUUAAUACUCACAUUUAUUAAAACAGUCCUUGACUCAAACUUUGGCAAAAUUAAAUUUUUGCCCCUAAACUUUUACAGUUUUACACUUUUUCCCCAAGGCUCAGAAAUUAAACUUCAUCCUCUUUUCUUAUGUUUUAUGACAUGCUAAUCAUUUUUCCCUUCUAUAGAAACAUCAAAUUCUCACUCUAAUAUGUACUUAUGAACAUUAGGUAUUUUUACCGAUUAUGUCGUUUUACUCGUUUUCACGUAAAAUCGCUUAGCAAAAGUUUUUCAACACAAUUUCAAGCUUCAUAUUCUACCAUAAAACAUCAAAAUAAACAUAUUUCACUUAUGGGUAUUUUUCCAAAUAUAAACCCUAGGUUAAACUAUUGCUAGAAUAAGCUUAAUCAAGUUACUAGGAUUCCAAAAACGUAAAGAACAUUAAAAACAGGGCUAAAAUGGACUUACAAUCGAGCUGGGAAGCUUGAAAAACCCUAGCUAUGUCUUCCUCAUGUGAAAUUCGGCCAAUUCAUUUUAAUAACUAAAUGACCAAAAUCCCCUUAAUUAAAAACUAUGGUGUUUUAUCUUCCUUUAGGUAUUUUUGUCCAAACUAGUAUAAUGGUCUAAUUACUAUCCAAGGACCUCCACUUUAAAAACCCAUUACUCACAAGUACUUAGUACCUUUGUGAACUAGAACACACAUUUUACAACUUUUGCAAUUCAGUCCUAAAUAUUAAAUUGGACCCACUAUCAAUAAAAUUUAUGAAUGAAAUUUUCACACAAUCAUGAAAUCAUGCCAUAGACCUUAAAAUGAUAAUAAAAUGAUUAUUUUUAUCUCGGAUUUGUGGUCUAGAAACCACUAUUCCGAUUAGGCCCUAAUUCGGGAUAUUACAGUUCUCAUAUAUAAACACAUCUCAAACUUGGUAUUUAACAAUAUGGGAUCUAAGCUUUUCUUUUCCUCAACAAAUAUUCCCAAGUAGCUUACUUUGAGUAUCAAUUUCUCAUUCAUCACUCAACUAUUUUGAGCAUAUGAUAUAUCGUUGUAAAGGUUUCAUGGAGUAGAAUAAGAAACCAUAAUUUUAUGAUUCAACUCUUCACCUUUACCUAUUGAGAAUAUGCCUCAAAGUUUCCAUAAAAAUACAAUUUUUUUCAACAGUUAUUUUGGCCUUUCAAAAUAGCCACCAAUUCUUUUUUUUUUUAAAUACUUCAAACUAAAAACAUUAUUUUAACCAUAAUUUCAACAAUAGGAUACUACUAUAGUAACAAAAUUAAUUUUUCUAGAAACAUAAACAACAUAAAAAAGGAAACUUAGGCUGAUGUUGAGUUUGACAGAAUUGAAAGGAUUUAGGAUUUAAUUUUUGUGGAGGGAAAAGGUGGGGAAGAAUAUAUAUAGCAAUCAAGUGGUGGCCAACUGUGGAAUGAGGAUUGUCUGUUGUUUUACAUUCAAAUUGCAUGUGUAGAUCUAUUAGUUUUAGUGGGCUUUUAGGAAAAACUAAUUAGAACACUGGAAAUAGAGAAAUAGAAGAGAGUACUCCAAAAGUUCAAGAAUCCAAGUUGUUUCUAGACUUGAAGAAGUUUGAUCGAAUUUUCUUUGAAAAUCAAAUUGAAAGAAAUUGCUUGGAAUUGUUUUCUUGAUCUGAAAAAAAUUGAAGAUUGAAUGUAAAUAAGUCAAGAAAAACAAACCAAGUAAUAAAAUAACCAAAAACUGAAAUAAUAGAUGAGUUAUGGCAGUGGCAGAUCCUAAGACUAAGUUUUGGGGGUCUAAUAAAAAUUUCAAAAAUUUUAGAAUUUUAAUGAGAUUUUUUUAAAAAAAAUGGGGGGUCUAAUUGAAUUUUUUAAAUUUUUUGUGAGAUUAAUGAGAAUUUUCAAAAAUUUGAGACCUAAUUAAAAUUUCCAAAACUUCAAGGGAAAAAAAUUAAAAUUUCCAAAAUUUUUUGGGCCCAAUUAAAAUUUUAAAAAAAAUCAAGGGAGAAAUCAAAAUUUUCCAAAAUUUUGGAGAGGCUAAGGUCCUUUAGGCCACCAUAAGGAACUGCCUCUAAGUUAGGGAAAGAUGAAACUGAUGGAGAUGGAUAAAUGAUAAGAUGUCCACUUGGGCCAUUCGAGAUAAAAUUAUCCCAACAAACUCAAUUAUUGGCUCUAAUCAACUGUCUAAGAAAGAAUUAUUGACAAAUUGAAGUUUUAAGAACUUUUCCCAAAAUCUUGAACGAAAUUAAGUAAAAAAAACAUUUGAAAAUAAACAAGAAUUGAAUAUUUCAAAAGAAUAACUCUGUAACACCCCUUACCCAAGUCUAAGGCCGAGACUGGACACGAGGCAUUACCAUACUUAAUUACAUGCAUACAAUCGUUUUCGAGUCACCUAGACUUGAUCAAAUUUAAAACUCUUUCCAACUCUGUUUAAACUCCUUAAAGUAGGCUUACGAGGCCUCAAACUUUCCUUGGAAACCAUUUGGAACCAACUCGGGUCCUUAAACUGACUGAAUAAAAAUGAUUCUUGAAACAAGGCACACGCUCGUGUGGUCAUUUUAAUAUGGCUGUAUGGAUGGCACACACACGGCCUAAGCAUUUAGGGACAUGCCCGUGUCCUAUACCCAUGUGAAUUAAAUUUUAAAUUCGAACCUACAGGGGUUUUCACACGGCCUGACACACUCCCAUGUCUAUGGCCUGCGUCCUUCACACGGUCAUGACACACUCGUGCCCUAACCCGUGUCUAAAAACUUUGACAUUCUGUUUUUGACGUCAACAUCCAAUUUAGGGCACAUGGCCAAGGCACACACCCGUGUUCUAGGCCAUGCCCUUCACACGGCUGAGACACACAGUCGUGUCUCUAGUCGUGUGUUUACUACCAUGCAUACUGACUUGCAAUUUUUACAUGUAGGGGACACACGGCCUAGCAACACACCCAUGGGAUAGACUGUAUGUCACACACGACCUAGACACACGCCCGUGUGUCUACCCGUGUAGACAAUAUGAGGCUAUCUACUAAGCCUUUUGCCACCCUGAGACACAAUCUAAUGCCAACCAACAUAUCAAAAUCUAACUUAAUAUGAUUUCUCAACCAAACAACCAUAGCUAAGGCUUAUAUACAUUAUAUAUAUAUAUUCAAACAUGCCGUCAAUUUCACAUUCAUGAAAGACUAUCUUGCAUUCAUAUAAUAACUUUCAAUAUUAGCCAUUUUUCAUGGCCUUAUACAAAAUGAAUCAAAUGCUAUAGUAAGCCAUCACAUUUGGCCAAUUAACAAUGACACAAAACUCAAAAGUCUAAGCUCCUGUACAUGUCAUACUCAAAAUAUUAAGUUUAAUUAUACCGAGUGCUUCAGCUUGAUAGUGUGAUCGAUGCCUCCGACGUCUGAUAAUCCUCGAGCUAGUUAGGCAGCAUUAUAAGAAAACGGUAAGGACAUGGAGUAAACAUAAAGCUUAGUAAGUUGCAUGCAAUAAAUAUAACAACAACUUUACUAUUCAUCAUCAUGCUCAUAUUACUAAAGUAGGCAUAAGCACAACUUACUCAUCACUAUCCAAUACAUUUCACAUAGCAUAUAUUGAGCUCACAUCCCAUAUAUUUCAAAUAGGUACCUGUACCACUCAUAACACGGUUAUACUUUCCUCGUUUAACUUAAAUUGUAACUUUCACCGUUGAACCAUUUAGAAUGCUAUCAGAUAAUCAUUAAGCCUCAAACAUAGGGUGUAAUGCUGAUGCCAUGUCCCAGACAUGGUCUUACACUGGCUUAUCCGUCAAGUCGAUGCCAUGUCCCAAACAUGGUCUUACACUGACUAUUGAAAUCGAGGCCGACGCCAUGUCCCAGACAUGGUCUUACACUAGCUCUCACUUAUCUAUACCGAUGCCAUAUCCCAGACAUGGUCUUACACUGACACAUCUCGUAGUCGAGGCAUGUCCCAGACAUGUCUUAUAUUGGCUUACAUAUCGAGGCUGAUGCAUGUCCCAGACAUGUCUUACACUAGCUAUUGUCUCAAUGCCGAUGCCAUAUCCCAGACAUGGUCUUACACUGGCUCUCAUAAUAUGGCCGAUGCAUGUCUUAGACAUGUCUUACACUGGCACACAAAUAACCCAAAUGUCAUGGCACGAAUAUCUGAUUUAUUUCCUAAGGUUCAAACGGGAGUUUUACUAUCUCAAUAUUCAUCAUACAUAAUCAUUUCCACAACCAAGCAAUUUAUGCUAUAUCAAUUCAAACAAAUAUAAUAUCAAUGUAGUUGUAUUAUUUACAUACAACUUACCUCGAGUUACAAAAUGUAGAUGAAUGGUUCGGCUUAGUCCACUUGUUUUACUUUUCCCCAAUCUAGGCCCGGAUUUUGCCCUUCUUGAUCUAAAAUGAUAAAAAUUCACAAAUUUAAUCGUUUUAUUUAUCUAGGUACUCAAAAAUUCAUAAUUGGGUAAAAUAACCAUUUUGCCCCUAGACUUUAACAAAAUGACCAUUUUACCCCUGGGUCGAAAAUCAUUUUUUAUCACAUUUUCUCACUAAAAAAGCCUAGCCGAAUACUUUUCAUACUAAAGGCAGCCCACAAUUCUCAUUAUUUCACACAUUUAUCAUCUAUUUUACAACUUAUGCAAAAUGGUCUUUAGUUAGGGUUUCCAUGAAAACUACUUUACAAAAGUUGUUUAUUACACUACCAUAGCUCAUAUUCUUCCAUAAAAUUUCAGAAAACAACAUGAACACACUCAUGGUAAAACCCUAUACUUUCAACCAUUUUGCAACAUAGUCCAUUCAUUUGAAAGCUUAUGUUCCAAGGGUUUUAAAAGUGUAAAAAUCUUCAAGAAAAAUCAUCAAAACCACUUACUUAUGAGAGAAAUUAGUGGCUGAUAUUUUAAGCUCUCUAAACCCCCUUUUUGAUGCUAAAAAUCAGUAAAGAAGAAGAACUAAAAAGAUAGAGCCUUUUUAUUUUAUUUUAAUAUUAUACUAGUCAAAAUUGGUUACCAAAACUUCACCUAAUUUUGACUUUCUUGUCUCAUGGCCGGCCAAACAUUAUUUCUAGGGUCUAUUUGCUCUUUAAAACCCCUAAUUUUGGUUUUCUAGUUAUUUGACACCUUUAGCUAUCAAAAUAGGACUUUUACACUUUAUGCGAUUUAGUGCUUUUUCACAAUUAAGCCCACAAACACUAAAAUUACUUCACCAAAUUUUUCAUGCACUAAUAUAAACAUGCUUAACUCUAAAAUAAUAAUAAAAUAAUUUCUCUGACUUCGGAUUGGUGGUCCUGAAACCACCAUUCCGACUGAGCCCAAAAUCGGGCUGUUACAAACUCCAUCGAGUACUUCUCUUAAUUUCAAAGAAAGAUUUAAUUUACAAUGAAUGAAUGGAUGAAUGAAUGAAUGCCUUUAUAUAGACUACAUAAAUUGGCACAACAAGACGUAAUCUUAGUUGAACUAAAAUUUCUUGUCAAGGAGGAAACAUAAAAACUUCUAAACAACUUAAAAGACUUAAAAAUCUCUUAAAAUUUGAAAUAAAUAAAUACUUAAAACAUAAAACUUAAUAAAUACAAUAUUGAGAUUAUAUAUAAUCAAAAUUAAACAUUAAAAGUAAGCCCAAUAUGGAUUAAACACAAAUCUAAAGUCCAAUAAUUGAGUUUUUAAAAUAGUCAAUUUAAAGCAUUUGAUUAUUUUAGAAGAAAACUUAGUUAAUUACCAAUUUAUUUAUUACUCAAAAUUUUAAUUAUAAUUUAGCAGCAGAAAAGUGAUAUUUACUAUGUUUUUAAUAAAGAUCAGGGUUCAUGCCUAACUAAUUAAUAUUCAUAAGUUGAUAUCUUAUAUCAAAUUAAAUGUAGUGCAAGCUAUAUAAAAAAAUCCAAAUCCUAUGUUCCAUGCCACAGUUCAAAACAAAAUGAUAUAGUUUCUGAAUAAUAAAAAAAUCAAUUAAUGGGUCUAAAACGUUUUAAUAAAUGAAACCGAGCCAAGACCCUUUGGAUGCCUUGUUCAUGUCCUAAUCUGGUGGGUUAUUUGUAGAGAUAGAAAUAAAAAGGGGUGAUCUAUGAAGCUUAGUAUGAGUCAUAUCACAAGUGAACUAGUGCAGAACAAUAACUAAGCAUACAAUUUAAUAGUUGUCAUCACAGUAACAUUCAUAUAGGAUAACAAUAUUUAAAUAGUUCAUUCAGCAUGCUUUAAGAAUGUCAAUACAAAUGUGAUUUCAAUUUAAUGGGGAUAAUCCUACCCAUACUCUGCUACACUCCUCAGUAAGAGUUCCCCAGAACUCCUCCAGCUGUAACACUUCAGUUUGUGGCUGAGCCACCAGUGUUGCAGGUUAAUACGCUGCUAGUAGUUGUGAUUACACAACGAGUUUACAGAUAAAAGAUGCCAGUAUGAAUUAUGGAUACCACCAGUGUUUUCAGGUUAAUACGCUGUCAGUACUUGUGAAUACACAACUUAGUUGCAGAUUAAAACUACUAGUAUAAAUUGUGGAUAAACCACCAGUGUUUGUAGAUUAUUAAACUAUCAGUAUUUCUACCAUACAAUCGUCCCACCCUAUGCAAUACAGUAUGUCAUGCUUGCAAUAAUAUAAUGUAAAAUAGUAAACAUGUUUAUCAUGUUUCUAGUUCAUCAGUAGCAUUAGUCAUGCUUAUCAUGUAUUCAGUUUAGCAAUAGCAAUAAGCAUGUUGAUCAUGUAAUCGGUGUAGUAACAAUAACAAUUCAUCAAUUAUUCAGUCACAGUAUGCAUGUAAUAGUCCUAAAUCAUGCAUAUACAAUAGUAAUUUAGCCAAUUAAAUCAUAGAUUCCGACAUUAUUCAUAAUACCAGAGACUCAAUUAAAUUAAAUAAAUCACUAAAACAAAUUGGGAUCAUGCAGGGUUUAAAUUGAACAGUUUAUGAAAAUUCUGGGCAAAAUUGUAAAACAAGGGCAUAAGCCCGUGUGGUCAGGCCGUGUGCAAUACCUUAAGCUGUGUGGAGGGGUUACACGACCACGUGGCUAGGCUAUGACUAUGUGGAACAUGCAAAAUUAGGCUUCAAGGGAGACACGAUCGUGUGAGAGGUCGUAUGGAGGGUCAUAGGCCAUGUAAUAAUCGAAUAUCCUAGAGUUUUAGGGGGAACAUGGUCGUGUGAGAGAGUCAUGUGGUCCACAUUGUGGCCUUAUUUUGAGGCACGAUUUUCCCUGAUUCGCUCUUAAAAGAACACUUAAAAGAACUCUUAAAAGAAGAAAAAAAUACUCAAAACGAAAAAAUAUGAAGACUAAUUGUAUAAUUUAACCUAAAUUUUUUGUUUGAAAUGAUGAUUUAACGUGCUAUGUUAGCCUACCAUUGCACUAUUAACCAUAAUUAACGGGUCAGUGACUAAAAUAUUACAACAUAUUAACAUAACUGAUUAAAAUAUAAUAUUUCAAAAAUAAGUAACUAUAAUGUAAUUUAAAGAAAAUAAUAAUAGUUUACCCUUAUUUAAAUGAUAUUGGGAUAUUUUUAGAAAAAAAUAUUUGGAAUAGUACCUUAAAAAUGAAAGACAGCUAGAGAACCGAGCGUUCAUAACAGACGUUUUUCCAUAUCCUACACUGUUUUCUAAUCACACUCUCACACUGCUACGCUAUAUCUACCCAAAACCAAGCCAAAUCCCACCUUAAAUUCCUUUGAAACAUUCAAUCCUCAAUCUUCAGGUUCUGAUAUAAUCCCAUGAUUCCAUUUCCCAUUACCAGUUCUUUUCACCUCUGUACUCUUCCAACACAUUAAAACAACCUCUUAUACUAAUAUGCUACAAUUAUUGUCUCCCACCAUCUCCUAUCCAUCUCCACUUUUCCAUCUAACUUCCCAUCCUUUCCCUCCAAAACCCCACUUCUGUUCUACCCACAGGUUGAGCUUUUACCUCCCACCAAAAAUGGCUUCUUUUUCUGGGUUUUUGGCUAAGUCUCAGAUGGGCAUGACUGCUGGUGGUGGUGGUGGUGGUGAUGGUGCAAAUGGGUUCUCUUCACUGAUGGACUAUGUUGGGAAGGGAGGACUAGAUGUAGGAGAUGAUUUACUUGUUUUGCUUUAUCAUAUACAGUUUGCUUGCAAGAGAAUUGCUGCUCUUGUGGCUUCUCCCUUUAAUUCUGCUCUCGGGAAACAUUCAGCUCUCACUGGUGCCACAUCCGGGGCCGCUGCUUCUGAUAGGGAUAAGCCAAAGCCGCUUGAUAUUGUGGCAGUAUGUUUAACUAGGCUGAUUUCUUCAUCGAAUUUCAUGAAAAUAUUGCUCUUUUUUCCCUUUAAGUAGUAUUUUCAUGGUACACUGGUAUAUUGUUGGGCACAUAACUCUUAAAUAGUUUGGCUGCGAUUAUAAUUGACAUGAAUUCUUAGUAGUAUGAAUGAUUGAAUCAUUGCAAAUUAUUAGAGCAAUAAAAGAGGUUGAGUUGAUACAGAAACAGAUUGAUUUUAAAGAUGUAAAUCAGUCGAACUUUAGUUUUUUAAUGCCCCUUUCAAUUUUUUUUAAACUAGAGUAAAAGGUAGGGAAAAAAGAAUUAAAGUUUUCCGAUAUGCUAAAAUUUUGGUUCUUUUUCCUGCAGAAUGAAAUCAUAUUGUCAUCUCUUAGAAAUUCAGGAAAAGUUUCAGUGAUGGCUUCAGAAGAAGACGAUGCUCCAAUUUGGAUCAAUGAUGAUGGUCCCUUUGUGGUUGUAUUGGAUCCCCUUGAUGGUUCUCGAAAUAUAGAUGCUUCUAUUCCCACUGGAACGAUCUUUGGGGUAUAUAACCGGCUCAAAGAGCUAGAUAAUCAACCGACGGAAGAGAAGGCAUUGCUGAAUUCGCUACAGAGCGGAACAAAGCUUGUAGCUGCUGGCUAUGUCCUCUAUUCAUCUGCCACAAUCCUAUGUGCUAGCUUUGGCUCAGGAACACAUGCAUUUACCUUAGAUCAUUCAACGGGAGACUUUAUUCUCACACAUCCAAGCAUUAGAAUUCCGCCUCGAGGUAAACGUACUGGAAUCUUGAGAGUUAAAAUGUUAUGCUCAUGGAAUUCAUUUAAGUAUCUGAUAUUUGCUUCACAAAUUCAAUGUUAUCCUAUUUGGAUUUUCUUACUGAUGGUCUUCAUUAACAGUUUGAUUAAAUGGGAACUCUUUAUCAUAUGAAAGUAUGAAAUUAAUAUUGUUUUUUUUAUCCCAUUAAUAAUUCAAGCUCGGCCUACUUGAUGAUUCCAGGUCAAAUAUAUUCUGUCAAUGAUGCAAGGUAUUUCGAUUGGCCUGAAGGUCUAAGGCAAUACAUUGAUACAGUAAGACAAGGCAAAGGCAAAUUCCCUAAGAAAUAUUCAGCUCGGUAUAUAUGUUCGUUGGUUGCUGAUUUCCAUAGGACCGUGUUGUACGGUGGAAUAGCAAUGAAUCCCAGGGACCAUCUGCGGCUGGUUUACGAGGCAAACCCUCUAAGUUAUCUUGCAGAGCAAGCUGGAGGCAAAGGUUCGGAUGGUAAAAGUAGGAUACUUUCGAUCCAACCGGUGAAACUGCAUCAAAGAUUGCCUCUGUUUUUGGGUAGUUUGGAAGAUAUAGAUGAGUUGGAAAGUUAUGGAGAUGUUCAACAGAAAGUAAACCCUGGGUAUGAAGUUUAAUCACUUUUGUUGUUUUAAACAGAUUCAUUGCUCUGUUUCUCUAAAGUUCAUUCUUGUUUCUCGUUGUUAAUACUUUUAGCCUGAAGAUCACUUUACAAAAUAAAAUCUUCAAAUGAUGCAAGUUCUCUAAAACUAUCUCAAAAGGCUGCUUAAUCUCCAGCCUUUUCACUCGUCUCCUACAGGAAUAAUGGUUCAGUGACAGCAAAAUGUGCUGUUAUUACAAUGUCAACAGUCAUGGUUAAUUGUGAAAGGCAAUAGGCUCUAUGAUUUGAGACAAAUUUGACAAGCUUUGAACCCACAACGUCCCCAACCGGAUGUCCUGCACUAUCGCACAUAAACCGAAUCUCGAUAACAUUUAUGCCAAAGGUUGCAUGUCCUCAUCUAGAUACGGAUCGGGUUUAUUGUAUUGAUGCGAAUUGCCGUUCUAUGACCUACUCCUCAAUUAAUAUCGAAUAUAGGGUAUUGAAUGUUGCCAGAAAUCAAUGGAGGAGCAAAUUGAUACAGAUUAUCCAAAGGUACAUUAAACUGAAGAUCGUCCCUCUAGAGAUGCUGAUGAUAUAUCCGUGUAAAGCUUGCAAAAUCUCGACACAUCAGUGGGAAAAUAUUCACAGGUAGUUUGGGUGAACUUGGAACUUUAGCUACCACAUUUACCUGCUCAGCAUCAUCCAACUCCACAUAUAACUCUGCUGCCAUAUUUUUAGAUUUGCAAUUAACUGGUAAUUUGUCUGGACAUCUUCAUCAUCAAUAAGCUUAAGCCGGUUAUACAUGACGGAUUUGAUGAUACUGAAAAUCUAUAAAAGAUCGUGGAUAAUAUCUUUCCGUACUGAGCUGCGAUUUUAGUGCUAAUUUUUAAUUUCAACUCAUCAAGUUUGAUAUAUUUUUCAAACUUCAUACUAACACAAAGACAUUUUCAAUGUAACAAAUUUAUUAGUUCGGUAAUUAUGAAAAAUGAAAUCAAUAUUAAAUUUAACUGAACUUAAAUGGUAGAAGUUUAGACGGAGGAAAAGUGGAAAACUGACCGCAAGACCUAGGGAAUGGGGCGGCAGCAACUGCUAUUGCUAGGGCCACCAAGAAAGUCAGGUUUCGAGAUGAAGAGAGCUCUUCUAUCGCCGAUGGGCUAGCGUCGACAGUGGGGGGACUAAUGCUCCGUUCGGGAGUAGUGGAUGAACGAGGCUACCGAAUGAGAAGGUAAUUGAAGAUGAUGAUAUCGCACUCAAGGAUAGGUAUGUGGUUACUGAGACUAUGAAUGGGGUGUCGUCGAUCAAAUUCUCGUCGCGGGUUCAUCAGUUAAUAGAGGAGAGUAUGAGUAAGUCGAUUAUUAUUAAACUACUAGGUCGACGAAUUGGUUAUAGUGCAUUUCACAAUAAACUUUAUGCCCUAUGGAAGCCAUCUCGGCACUUUCGGUUGAUGGAUUUAGAUAAUGAAUACUUCUUGGUGCGAUUUCAAGCGAUUGAGGAUUACACGCCAGUGCUGGCCAGAGGGCCGUGUGUUAUCUUUAGGAAAUAUUUAACGGUUCAACCAUGGCGUAUGGGGUUUGAUCCGUCAGCCCUUCUGACAGAGGUGAUGGCUUAGAUUCGGUUUUCAGGGCUAUUAGGUAAUUUAUAUAAGGGGAGCCUAUUGAAAGUGAUUGGCGAACUAGUUGGGCGAAUCAUAAAAAUUGAUGGUAACACAAAGAGCGAAAGCAGAGGCCAGUUUGCCUGGAUGGCGAUGUGUAUUGAUCUAAAAUUCAUAUUGAGGAUCAAUUGCGAGUCAUUGUUGAAUAUAUGUUAUUGUUGCGGAUGCUAUGGCCACAUGGAGGAGGUAUGUCCUAAGAACAAGGACCGGGUGGUUGCAGAUGAGGUGGUGGAGAUGGAGAAGGAGACACCGAUUAAUGUUGCUAAGCAAAUUGAGGAUGAGGACUUCGAGUCGACCACAGUGGACAAGUAAGCAACGUGGUACAUCAGGCAUUAAAGAUUGGGGUGGUGUCAGGAUCAGAUUGAAGUCCAGUGUUCUUUUGGGCGUGGAGGUGAAGGUGCGCAUCUGGAGCAAUUUGUGCAGGGAUUGGGAGAUGAUAGACCGGUGGGGAUAUCACCGUAGAACAUGGGCAGCAAAGGUGUAACUGAAUGCUGAUUUUUAGCUAAGGAAAAAGGUGAGCGAGCAGUGGCUUCUGAGCCUAGACAGAAUAGUGAGGGGAGUAAUGGCCAAGCGAGCUUCGUACUACCUCUAUCUUUGGGAGCCGAAAUGACAGAUGUAUUACGACCUGCUCCUUGGUAUCCAAUGGCCAGAUGGAUGGGGAGUCGAUUCGGUUCUCUACUAAAAGGGUUACUUCCACCUUGAAUCCUCAAUGUCAUACGAUUAUUGUGGUUGACGAGAAUUUGGACCAGAAUGUUCGGCGGGAGGAAGUAUCUGUGGAAGAUAAAAUAGGGGAGGAGGAUGUGACAUUGGUUGAAUGUUCUGAGAAUGAUGUUAACAUAGUCAAAUGGCAGGAUGACAAGAAAGAGAUCCCUUGGUGUGGGGUGUGCAUGCGAGGAGGUGUUGCUUUAGUUCUUGUACGUUCGACUAUGGAAGGUAUUGUUGAGCGAUUGGAGACUACUGGGGAAUGUGAUAGUGCCGAUGGUGAUCUUCCCAGGGACGGUGUUUAACAGCUAGGAUCAGGGCCGUCAGAGGGAUAGUAAGAAUUAUCAGGUUGUUGCUCAUCUCUUUUCUCAGUGUGCUUGUUAUGGAGUUUAAUAUUUUUAGUUGGAAUUGUCAAGGGGCUAGACAUCCCCAAUUUAACCGUAUGCUACAGGAGUAUCUGAAGAUUCACCAUCCAGCGGUAGUAGUGUUGCUUGAAACUAGGGUUAGUGGUUUGAGAGCGGACAAGGUGAUUAAGAAAUCCAGCUUUAAUUGGUCUCAUAGAGUGGAAGCUAAAGGUUUUUCUAGUGGGAUUUGGAUUCAUUGGGAUGAAUCAGUGCGCGUCGAGGUUCUAUGUAAUCAUAGCCAGUUUGUGCAUUUUGCAAUAGUUUCGAAUUCGUUGCAGCAACGAGUUUUAUAUGCUGCAGUUUAUGGUAGUUCGAAUAGCCGGAAAUAGAGAUCCCUGUGGACGGGACUGAAUGCAGUAGCACAGGGUAUAGUUGAACCAUGGGUACUUUUGGGUGAUUUUAAUGCUUUGUUGCAUACGGAUGAGAAGCAGGGUGGGUUGGUGAGUCGUGUGGCAACUUGCAAACGCUUUCAAACCUUUCUAUUUGACAACAAUCUUAAGGAUUUGGGGUUCAAAGGACCUAAGUUUACAUGGUGCCAAGGUCGGGUUCACGAGCUGCUCGACGGAGUUCUUUAUAAUGCAUCAUGGGAACGACGAUAUCAGUUUUCUUCUGUGUAUCAUCUCCAGCGCAUUAAAUUUGAUCAUUGGCCUCUCCUUUUAGUGUUGAAUGACUCUUGUCGACCCAGUGGGACUGAGACGUUUAAGGUUUUUUUUUUCUGGUUGGUUAUUUCACAGUGGCUUGAUACGUUGGUUAAGAUGUGUUGGGAUGACAAUUACUCGCUUGUUGAAUUGGUCCAACAGUUUGUGGUUGAUGCGUCGGAUUAGAAUGGGAAAGUUUUUGGUAGUAUUGGUAGGCGAAAAAGGGAAUUGAUGGCUCGAUUACGAGGUUUGCAAGCAGCUAGGAUGUUUACAGGAUGCUGGGAUCUAUGUUGCUAUUGUUUUUGAGAGUCGGAGGCGAACGGGGACUGGAAAUUUGCGAUGGCGCUGUCUGGAGCUAGGAUGGGUGAAGACGAAUGUUGACGGGGUUGUGUCGGAAAGAACUUGUCAGGCAAGGACUGGGGCCUGUUCCGGAACUAUUAUGGGAGCUGGGAUGUCGGGUUCUCCAAGAAGAUUGGAAUGACGUCGGUGCUCCACUCAGAGCUGUGGGUGGUGUUUGAUGGAUUAAAGGUGCCUUGGGCUAAGGGAUUCUGAUAGGUGGUUAGGGAGAGUGAUAAUAUUGAGGCCUUACAAUUACUAUGCAGAGGAUCGAGAGGGGAACAUGUAUGCUCGCUUGUUCGAUAGAUUAUGGGGAUGCUUUAGUGACACUGGACUGUCAAGCUAGAGAAGGUGCCGAGAGCUUGUAAUAUUGCUGCAAAUUUUAUGGCUAAGUGGGUACAGGGUGCUGGUGAUGGUUUGCAUUUGGUGAAGAGACCGUCAGGGAGCUGUUGGAGGUCGUUGCUUUCUGACUUAGUCAUGGCUGUUGGAGUUGAUAUAGUUGAAUAGUAGAAUUUUAGAGUUUUCUCAAUAUUUUCCAUUAAAAAAAAGUUUAGACAGCUCGAUUACAAAUACAUUGAUUAUUAAGAUCUAAAACAUCUAUUCAACAAAAAAACUCAUGAUAAAAGCACGUGUGACUUUGAAACUUUUUCAUAUCGAGAAACCCUUACUGUUGUCCUAAGGUAAGAAGCACACCACCAAUCACUGUCCCCAACCCUUUUUGUUAGUGAGUGGCAUAAAACCGUAAAUAUGAUCAUGAAUCAAGGGCCUUAUCUCAACCCUCCCAUCUCCUUCCAUCCUCCCCAACCUGCUUCCAUUGCGUCUCAAUCGCUUCACAUUAAUUAAUUAUUUAUUAAGCCCAGAAUUUCACUUUAAAUUUUGUUUCAUUAUAAAUUAUUGUUUUUUUUUAAUUCUUUAACCUAAGUUUUAAUUUCUCUUCCUGAGUUUCUCUAUAUAUUUAAUUUUAUAAUAUUCUGUUGCAUUUCUUGUUUUUAUUUUUCCCAUUUUGGGGGAGAUUUUGUGGUAAUUUGUUAUGCAAAACGAAUGGCGAAUUCGAAUCACCAGCCAACGCCAAUGUACGGUUCAGGUGCAGCGAACAUGCAACGGAACAUUGACGAAGAAGAAGACGAUGACGUUCCAGGCGGAGCCGGAGGAAGAGGGGAAGAGUCCGUGGAUAACCCUCAGAUUGGAUUUCAAGAAAACGGUGCCGUUGUUGCGGUUAUGAAUAAUGGCAUAGACGAAGCUUCUCAUGCCCACGUUUAUGGUCAAGGAUCUGAUUCAACCUCUGCUCCUGGUAAUGGUGGCGCUGAUCAGCUCACCCUAUCGUUUCAAGGGGAGGUUUAUGUAUUUGAUUCCGUUUCUCCUGACAAGGUUCGUUUUCCUUUUCAUCUGGGCCUUUUAGUUUUGAAUUUGAUACGUAUGUUUGUUUCUUAAAUGUUGAAUUUUUUAUUUAAAUUGUUCACUUGUUGCAUCUGGUUUUAGGCUGAUUGGAUGGAUUUAAUGAUUUUUUUGUUAGUUUGGUGAAUUAUGUGGUGGCCUAUCCUGUUUUAAUGCUAAUUUAGCUGAUGACUCAUUGGUUUUUGCAUCUGUAUUCUCGUUUAUACAGUCAAUUACUGAAUUGCUUUGUUUCUAAAUAAUGUCGUGGGUUGUGCAAGAAAGAUCCUCUCUUUUCUCCUCAAUUGAAGUGGAUGCUAUUAGGGCUUAAAGUUUCAAAUAUGAAGUAAGAAAAGGGAAGUCAUGAUUUGUGGUGCUUGAUAUUUUCAGGUACAGGCGGUGUUGUUACUUCUAGGUGGAUAUGAAAUCCCUUCAGGCAUUCCUGCAAUGGGGACAGUCUCUGUUACUCAAAGGGUGCGCGUUAGAUCAAUCAUCCUAUCUAUCUUGUGAUUAGUUCUUUUAAGAGGGUUCUGUUUUUGUUCCUUUUCUUUUUUUAACAUCUUUAAUGGCAUUCUCCUAGGGCUUGAAUGACUUUCCUGGGAGGUCAAUUCAGCCACAGAGAGCUGCUUCUUUAAACCGGUUCCGGGAGAAGAGAAAAGAGCGGUGCUUUGAGAAGAAAAUCCGCUAUACCGUGCGGAAAGAAGUGGCCCUCAGGUAUUUCAACAAUUUGUUUCACCUCUUUUUCCACAUUUUUCUUGCUUCAAGACAAGAUUUUCUUCAACUCACUUGCUAACAAACCAGGUGUGGUUUGUUAGGAUGCAACGUAAGAAGGGUCAAUUCACAUCAUCCAAGGCAAUUUCUGAAGAAGUAGCCUCAGCCUCUUCAGGAUGGAGCGGAACACCAGGUUCUGGGCAAGAUGAGAACAUGCAAGAAGUUUUGUGAGUAGCUUUUCUAAUGAUCAAAUAAUGUUGUUUUUAAAAGAAAUUAUCAUUGGAUUGAUAUCACCCCUCAGUUGAAGUUGUAGUUUUUACUUCAGCUAUCAUUUGUUAUGUUCCUAUAGGCCUUUAUUUUGCAAGUUUUUUUCUGUGUAGAUGUACACACUGUGGAAUCAGCUCUAAGAGAACUCCUAUGAUGCGUCGUGGACCUGCUGGUCCAAGGACACUUUGCAAUGCAUGUGGACUCAAGUGGGCAAAUAAGGUUUGUCUAAACCAGGAAAGACUUGUUCAUAAGUCUAUUCCCCAUUUAAUUGCAUAAUGCAUUCUUUGUAAUUCUAAUGAUAUUUAAUCACACAAAUUUAUGAUUAGUCCUUCUAAUUGUCCGAGAGGUGUAUAUUAAGAGUUUGGCAAGAUUAUAACCUUGAUAUUCAGUUCUAUACUUCCAGUUAAUUUGUUUCUGGCACCACUUAACCUUAAUUUGUUUGAUGACUCAGAAGUAAACAUAUCCUUUAAGCAAUACAUCAUGUCUUCUGCAUUUUAGUAACUUGCGGAGGAUGAUUCAUGAUUCUUAUAAUCUUCAAUAAUUGCUUGUAAUUCUUUGGUCAUUCAGUUGGGAAGUUCUCAUUUGCAGGGUGUUUUGAGAGACCUUUCAAAGGUUUCUACAGUAGUAAUCCCGGAUCCAACUGUAAAGACUGCUGAGCAGGUUUUGCUAACUCAGAAAAACAGUAUUGAUGAUUGUUAUUUUUUACCUUUUUUCAUUGUGAUAAAAUCCUAAAUGCCCCUUGAAUCUUAUUACAUUGUUACUCCUUGCGUGUUUAUCAGAGUGAUGCUGAAGCUAACGAGUCAGAGGCUGUAACUGUAACUACAGAUGUUGUAUCUUCGUCUAAUGGAGAUAACUCCACUGUUACUGCUGAAAGAUGAUUAACAAGAUCCUUAUGCUAUGGUGAGUGCUAUGUUACUUGAUGUUUAAAAGGGCACAUGUCAAACUUUGUUGUAAUAAUUGAGUUCGUUUGACAACUGUAUAUAUGGUGCAUUGCCGAUCAUUAUGUAACUGCAGAAUUGCAAAAUACAGCCUAUUUGGUGUCAGUAGGAAGAUUAGAAAUAAUCUUCAAUAUGCGUCGAAACCAGAGCUUGUUUUAACAGAUUCCUUACCUUUCCUUGUAAAAAAGUGGAAAUAUUGAGAUGAGCUUGAACACAAGCAGCAGGGAAAAGAGGCACUUUCACUUCCUCACCGAAUGUCCCAAGUCUUGAGGCUGCAAUUCCUAAAGAAUGUCUGCUUAGCUACUUUCUUAUUAUUCUCAGUUCUGCCUCCUGAUUGUUCUGUUGUCUCAUAUGUGUUUUGCCUGUACACUUUUGUACGUUUCGAAAUACAUGCACUGGAUGUGUAGUAUGUGUUGGUUGUGAUUUCAUAUCGUGUUUAAACCGGUCAGGUAAAACCCCUCCUACAGUAGCUGUUAUGGGUCUUUUCUUGCCUCCCCAUGCUGCUCUACUUAUCGGUUACGCAGAUAAUCCAGGCACUAACUGAUUCAACAUUUUGGUUAACCAUUCUUGUCCAAUUUGCAACAUUUUCAACACUAACGAUAUUCAGCAUUAUAAGAACUAGACUCUCCCCCAAAAUGCUGCAGUUUAGGGCACUCCAUUGCAAUUGACCAAGGGUUUUUAUUACACUUAUUAGCUCCUUUUUUUUGCCUACUGUUUUUAUAAUUUUUAAAUUUGAAUAAAUGAAAUUAUUGUACUUAUUAUUUGAAAUAUAGGGUAAAUAACUGAAGGUAAUUGGAAAUGAUUGUUUGCAAUUUUUUUAAGGUACAAAUAUAAUUUGUAAGUAUAAUUAAUACAUUCGUAUAAACAGAAUUUCAAUUUCAAUCGACAUGUAUUAGAAUCAAACUAUAUUCAUUUGAUGAAAAUUUCAGUGAAAAUGCAAUGAAACUUCUAAAUGGAACAUAACUACUUUAAAGGAGGGGAAAAAUAUAAAUCAAAAUGAAAAUUCCAUUUUGUAUUAUUUACUAAUAUAGAUAACGUCAGAAAUCGCGGCAUGAGGUGAAUAUCAACUACUAAAUUUUUUUAUUUAGUAUUAGAUAAGAUAUUUUAUUUAUUUUUAAAUUCUUUAAAUAUCUUUAUUCAUCCCCAAUAAAAAGCUUAAAUAUAUCUUCAAGGAGAACCGAAACGCUAUUGCUUUGGCUACAUUAGGAAGCAAUUUGAGGCCCCAGCUUCCUCGGAUAGUACUAGUUUUAAUACUUUUAUCUUGUUUGUAAUGAGCCGCCUUAGGCUAUUGUUUCCAUACUUUAAUAUAUCAUGUUCCUCUUGCUAACCAAAAAAGAAAGAAAAAGAACAUAUAAAAGAAUAAGUCGUUUUUUUUCCCAUAAUAAAAGAUCAAACGCAUUCAUCACUUCUAAAAAAUGGGAUAGAAAAUACAUAUUGAAAUUUAUCACCGGACUUCAUAAAAAUAAAUCCACAACCAUAUAAAUGAGGGCAAAUUUCAGUCUUCAGAUCAUGCACAAGUUGGAUGACAGCAAAAUCUAAAACUUUUACAAUGAAACAACAGUAAUUUUCAUAGCUUUUAUGAUUAUUAUUCUUCAACAAGUUCUGCCGAAAUUAUUGAAUCCAAAAUUGCAAUUAUCCGUUUCUUUACAGGCAAAACCCAACAACCAGCAGGCCAACGGACAGAGACUCCAUGGCUAACAUUCUUGAUCCAAAUGCAUUAUCACCCAAAUAGUCGGCUGUGUUUACUGCCUGAUGUUAACAAAUGGGGGAGAAAAAAGAGAUUGCGAAAAGAAUGGAUAUAGGAACAGAAAACUAUCAUUUCUGACAAAAAAAAGAGCAAGUUCCUCGCUCCCAUUAUUCUUCCCGGAGCGAUAAACAAUGCAAAUAACCCUAUAUUAUGGCAGUAGAACAAGGAAAUAUAUGGUGUCAAAAGAAAAUGCAUAAAAGCUAGGAAAUAACACCAACUUACCAAUAUGCCAGCUUUGGUUGGAGGAGUUCUGAAGAUCUUGAGGGAGAAAAAUUAGACUAAGCAAUCAAAUGAAUAUAAUGCCUCCAUAUUUGGUAAAAGAAAGUUGGACCAACCUACACAGUUUCACGUUCAAAUGGCUUACAGAUCAACUGUGGGAUAGAGGCCUGGCAUGUAAUGGCGCCCAUUUCCAUUUGAAUCUGCAUUGGCAUACAAGUGUGACUGUAGUUCCCCCGAGUGAGCUGACUUGCGAGGUUUUAGGUUUUUGGAAGAAGCUGUGUAAGAAUCAUUUGAACCACUACUUAUAGAAUACAUUGAUGAUGUUGGCAGUCCAUGAAUCUUCGGCAGCCCUGUUGGAUCAGAACCCAGACUAUAUCCCCUCUCAACUGUUUCUGCUUCCAAUGGCAAUUCAUCCAAUGUCUAUUCAAAACGAUUUAAAUAAAUAAAUAAAUAAAUGUGGCUGCAGCUGCACUUAAUGUUGUAAUUUAGUAAGAAAUUAAAAAUUAAGCAAUAGUACGCAUUAACAUGUAUGCAAACAAGGAAAAAGAUAUUUGGGUCAUAUCCUCUUCACAAACAGAUUAAAAGUCUAGUGAUUGCUCUAAUAAUCAACAUAUGUAGAUAUGCAGUUAAGAGAACCCACCCUGAAUACCAGUGGGAGAACUCGGAGUGUUUCUCGAGUACGUUUUCUCUUAGAAGCGAUCUCAUCAGGUUCUUGUAACAUUUCUUGAAACAGGUUUUCUCUGUUUUGGAUGAUAAGACAUACAGGACACUCAAAGGUCAACAAAGAGAUUAUCACAGGGAUAAAUAAUUGAAAUCAAGUCAAAUGACAGAAAGCUUUAUAUCACCUGUAGAGCUUUUUGAUAAAGACAUUGUGAAGUUCACGUUUUGUAUGGUUUACCUGGACAUCGAUAUCAGAGAUCACUACUCAUGUAAUGCUUCAGCUUAGCAAUGCAAAUAUUGCACCAUAAACUAUCAUUAGAAAGACAUGGCUUAUACGGUUAUAUUUACAAAAUUACAACAGUUUCAGGUUCCAAAUAAGAAAUAAAUGAACAAAUUUCAACCAACUAGCUAGCUCCAUGUUACAGAAGUCAAACUGGAUACAUUCACACAAUCACGUAAUUCAUCACUGUUCUAACAUAACUAAAAUACAUCAACCACAGAAAAAAGAAAUGGUAACCUAGUUCAAAUUACAUGAUAUAUGCUCCACUACAGAUCAAAAUAGUUGAGGAUAGAAAUCAACAUACUUAGCACCAAAUAUUGUUUACAUCAAGCCAAACAGAUGCUGAACUGAUAAGGUGAAAAUUUGAACUUAAUUUCACUAGAAAGACUUACAAUCUUCUAACUUGAAUACCAUAAUGCCUUCUUUCUUUGGCCAGACCCAUAAUGCGUUUUUGGAUUUCAGUCAUCAGGAGCUUGAAUGUGAACAUGGAUAGAUAGCAGAAAGAAACCAAAAAAUACACAAUUAGCAAAUCUACUCGGUUUAAACUUACCAAGAAGUGCAUAAUUGCUUUGGGCACAGAGUCCUCUAUGUUCUUCCUAACAAUGUCAUAGUAUGAUCUUAAGAGCAGUUUGGUAAUAGCAAUUUCAAUAGCUUGAGUUUCUGAACGGUUUUCUGAAGGCCUCAAUACAGUUGGAGGCUGAAAAGAGUAAAAAACAUGCUUGUCAAGAUCAGAUUAACAUUCUUUUUUUAAUUUAGCACUGGAUCCUUGAUGAAUUUAUCUGAUGUGUAGGCGCCUCUCUGAGAUGGAUCAUGGAAAAGGAAUGUUCAGUAUCAUGAACAGGUUCACUAUAUGGCUUGUUGUUUGUUGAGCUCUCUUUCACUGAUGUGCGGUUAUCACUGCCACCAAAUAUUGAUGGAAUACCCCAAGUUGAAAUACUUGUGCUUCCUGAAAAAACCCACACUCAUUUUACUCUUAUGCCGCUUGAUAAUUAAUCAAAAUAGGGUGAGAGCUAUAAACACAAAAUUCACAUUGGAAAAUCAGCCAGAUCCCUUUCAAAAGGAAAAAAAGGGAGAGAGAAUCCUCAAUAUUUGGCCAUCCUACAUAACUAUCAUAAAGAAUAUCAGAUAUUGCAACAACAAAUUCAGAACGACAGCCUAAAAUGCAGUACCAGUAGAUGGAAAUUUUUCACCAUCUGCAACAGGACGGACUCGCUGCACAAAAAUGGAGUAAAAGGCUUCUCAAGUUAUUUACGUAGAAAACAGACAGAUGAAGGAGAAAAAAUUAUAGGAAAAAACAAAAAAGAACAGGCAGGGAAGGAAAAGCAUAUAUUGGGCAGCAGAAACACAAAUUUUCAUGCCUGAUCAGCGACGAUUCCAUUAACUUGUCUUGCAAGAAUAGCCCGAGAUUUAAUACUUCUUUCAGAAGUAAGAGCCUUAUCAGGCUCUGAACCAUCCUGAUUAAGUCAAGAAAGAAACACAGAAAAAAAUGAAAAGGAAUUGGGAUUGGUAUUUGAAAAAGAUCAGAAAUAAUACCAGAGAAAUUACUAUAAGUAGAAACCUGCCUUUGGUUUGAUAGGUAAAGGAACUCUGGAAUUCUUUAUCUGCUGAUUGGCAAGUUCUACAGCCUUGCUCCCACCAAUAAAACUUGGGUGGGAAGUAUUUAUGUAAUCCAUCUGCAAAAUUAAAUGGCAUAUAGCUCAAAUCACUACAGAUCUUUGAAAAGAACAUAUGAAUGUAACAAGCAUUGCACUCAACUGUAUCAACUUCAUCUCUUGUAACAGGAUUAAGAAUAGAUACAUAAAAUAAUAUAUAAAAAUAAAAUUAGCAGAAAUACCUCCAUUUCAAUAAUAUGUCCUAUCAUUGUCUCAGAUGGUUCGAGGCCUUCUCGGAGAAAGUUCCCAAUAACUUGGUCCAUAUGUCUUCUCAGAACAGGAAAUCGCUGCAGUUCAUUCACCAUGCAGCGAUGGCUAACCUGGAAAGAGGACAAUUCUAUUAUAAAUCUAGAUUGUGAAGCAAUAAAGAUGAGGGACUACGAUAAUAAUCUGGAAGAAUCAACUUUAUUAACUCAUCAUAUAUGAACCUUGCACAUUGGAGGCUUGGAUCUAGCAAUCGUGCUAUUUGCCUUCGAACAAGCACUUCAAACGGAACCUAUACAUAAAAACUAGAAUUAUAACCAAUAUUCACUGAGAUUAACAAGAAAUAACCCCAGGCAACAAUUUGGAAAACAGCAAUGUAGUUCUGUAUAAAACAAAAAUAAUCUUAGAUUAGAAAUUUGAAUUAGAAGACACUAUAACCUACUUCUGGAACAAAUAGUGCAGAUCGAGGACCAUUCGCAUUCUCGAUGGCAGUUCAAAUGUCAUCGUCGGUCAAGUCUUCACAUGGAUCAACCUCCUGUAAAACAAAUCAAUUACAUAGAAAAUAUCUACAUAAAAACCCUCGUACAGAGACAUGUUAUGCAUCACCAAUUUAUAAAGUUGCACUGCAGGACUCCUAAUGUCUGUUUUAAAGAAAGCAGUAGCUCAUGCAGGAAGUCAGAGGUUUUAUUUUAUUGUUAAAAAAGGGAGGGAAGGUGAGAAAUUAAGAUCAUGAAACCAGAUAACCAAUUAUACAGAUAAGGUUGCCAUUAUUUAACUUUCUUAUCCUGCCCUAGUAGAGAGACUGCGCAAAAUCACUCAUGGGGUAGUGAAAUGCACGUAUCAAUAGAUUGAAUAAAAAUGUUAAUCGUAACAGAUAGUAUUUUACAACCAAUAUUUUGUACAAUUACGUGCAUAGUAAUUAACAACUAACUUUUGUAAGAUGGUGUGAGGAAACACCCUAAAGACAGAUGUAUAAUAGAAUGCACAUCUAACUUCAAAUGGAAAGGGAAUCCAACUAACUAGGCAAAUAUCAAAGCACAAAUAUCAGUCUACAGUCUACACACCUCUAAGCUCUUGACAAAAAUUGAUUGGAAAAUGUAAUGAAUUCUUGCUCCAGCAGACAGCUCAGAUGUAGACAUUUGUUCAUUUUUCCCCUCUACCAUUGAUGAGAAUGCUGGUUCCAACAAACCAUUAUGGUAUCAUUACCAACUUAGUAGAUUGUAAAUGAUAGGUGUUUCAGAAUAUUAAUUUUACAGACAGCCAAACAAAAAAUUUACCUUCACAGUACUUCGAAAGAAUAUUCAGGAGAAGAGCUCCCUGGCCAGCCUAUAAAUUAUAAAACCAUAAUUUUGUCGUAAGAAAAUUAUUCCAGUUACUACUCAACAAAGGUCAUGGUAGACAAACAAAUAUACAUGCCUUUGAUUCUGUAAUUUCUCCAUAGCUUGCAUUCUCCUUAGCCACAGAAACCAGUGCAGAACUAAUGCGUGAUUUCAGGCCAGGAAGUAUUGCCUUUAUAUGUUGAACUAAAAUCUACAUUAGAAACAGCAUAGAAAGACUCAUCAAUUAGAUAAAAGAAAUACAGCACAACUAGGUCACAAGGCUCAACUAGUAUGAUCGCAAAUCAGUCCCCAACUACUAGCACAAGGCCUUCAACAGAUGCUAUAAGCAUGCGGGUGACUUGAUUAAGAUAAAAGGGAAAAGGAAAGAAGAAACACUCCGAACAUAACCAAGCCUACGGAAAAUUGCUCUAGAUGAGAGUAGAAUGAUGCAAGUUUACAAUCUGGUCAGAAGUAAAUGGGAGAUUUUUCUACCAAAUGCAUAGCACAGAGGAAAAUUAAUAGGAUAACAGGGUUAAGUAAACAUCAAUAGAAAGUACGAACACUAGAAAAAAGCAUCGACAUUUAGAUUUUUUUCAAUUAUACCCCAUAAAAGUUCUGGAAACUUCAACUAGCAAAUAUUUUACCUGGUUCAACUUCUUUGCCAAUUGAGGAACACCACAACGAUCAGCUAGACUAGUAUAUACCUGUGUACCAUCAAAAACGAAUAAGCCAAUUGUAGAUGAAAACUGUAUCAAACAAUGAAACUAAAGGUUGGUGCAGCCAUACUGGACGACUGCGGAAGAACUUCUCCUCUGAAACAAGGGCAUCCUUGAUACUCCGGUUGAGUAAAAUAUCCUGUUUAGAAGACAAUAUUAGAAGUGCAAUCAAGUUAUCAGCACUAGUAAAAUAAGGUACCAGAUAAUCAGUAUAUGAAGUACAAGUAAGAGCAAAAAUGAUAACUUAUUAAUCAUUAAAAUUGCAUUUAGUUGCUUUGGUAAAGGGAAGAAAUAAAUGGGUUCAGGAAGUAGAUUUACCCAUAUGAUAAGUUCUUGUACGUGGUCUGAGUAACCAUUAAAGAAGUCAUAUAGAAGCAAAAACAUGAUAACUUACUAACCAUUAAUAUUUCUUACAGUUACUUUUGAGGAGGGAAAGAAAUAAUUAGGUUUUUGAGGCAGUAGAGUUACCCAAAUCAAAGUUCUUGCAUAAUAUUUAAUGAUAUGUUAUGCUGUAAAAAUCCGCCAUGCAUUUGGUUUAGCACCCCUGAAACGUUUUAGUGAUUAUGCUUUGAUGUCUUUGUCUAAUCAUCUAAGUUUAUCAAAUUCAAGCUCCAUUUUGCUCUAAGCUAUAUAUACUUCAUGUUGCCUAAAACUGUAAAAGCUUUGAGGAUAUCACACACCAUCUGAAAUGGGCAGUUGAGUGACAUACAACCACAAGAAACAAAAUGACAGGACACUUAAAUGGACAGGAAGAUCUCAAAAUGAAAAAUGACUAAAAAGAUUCACAUAUGUCUUAAUCCAAAGAAGAAAUAUGAAGAAAGACAAAAUUGCCUUUAGAGCAUCUUGAAUUAAUAAGUAUGGCAAAAAUUUUAAGAAAAUAACUGUAAAAAUGAGAAACCUUCCGCAUUAACAAUGUACUAGAAAUAAUUUAUUAAGAAAAGUUUUAUAAAAUACAGAUUGAUGAAUUAAUAUCUUUAUUUCUGUUAGGUUCCAUGGUUACCUCCUGACUUCGAUUUACAACACCUACAUAACCAAGUCGAAGAGGAACCACUUUUCCAAGCAACAGGUUACGAGCAUCAGUACCUCGGUCCAUUAUAUCCAACUGAUUCAUAUGCAAGUAAGCCGAAACUAAUCAGAAACCAAAAACAGCUUAAACAUAAGUUUGUCAUAAUUAGAAAGGAGAUUUUCACGUUGAAAGAUGCACCUUUGUAAUAACACCAAUGGUUCUAUAACCUGCCGAACACCAAAAAGUUAGAAAGAUUGUUCAAUUAAAUAAAUAGCAACUCAAUGCUGAAGUGAGAUUUUGAUAGUAGAAAUUACCAUCAGGAUCAGCAUUUCCAGCAAUUUGAAGUGCAUCAGAGUUUGCUAAGUCUGAAUUUGCAGGAGUAACAGCAAGAAUCAGACAGCUUGGCUGUUUAAUAUAUGACAUGAUCAUUGUUCUAAUUCGAGCUUCAAUGUCUGAGGGCUGGUCACCCACAGGAACCUUUGUGAUUCCAGGAAGAUCCACAAGAGUGAUAUCAAGAACAUUUGGGGAGAAAAUCUUAAGUCGAAUUUGCUUGUCUGACACACCUUUGUUUCCUCCAGCCUCCCUAUCUGUCUCAGCCUGCAGUCCAUAGAUAUUUAUUUAAGGAUUUUACAUUAACAGAGAAAAAAGAAAACUCAACACCACAAAUUAUAUAUAUUGUUCCUUGAUUGGAUAAAACUAUUAUUAACUAGUAAACAAUAAAAGGCUAGAGUUUUUCAGAUACCCAAAGGGUGAGAGAAAAAUUCUACUUACGAUCCUUAGCCAAGAACAGCUAGAUUAAGUGAUUCACUUUUCUACUCAUUGUAACCAUCAGUGCAAAGCCUAAAGCCGAAUAAUUCCUUCUGGCAAGCUCCCAAUUUCCCUAAUUACAAAUUUCAGUACCACCAGCUAUUGCAUCUUUGUUAUUCAAGAUAGCAUCUAAUAAUAUCUUUCUCGCUUCAAUAUUAUAUAUAUAACAGUUCUAAUACUCCUUAAGCAACCAGUUUGCAAAGGAAAUUUUAAAAAUGUCAACUUCACAAAAAUACAUACUAAAACCCCUAAUUUGUUGAAUUGUAUAAUCAAAAUGAGUAACUUUUGAAUUUCUCAAUCAUAAAAGGUAAGCAAUAAAGAACCUGAAUCUCCCUGCGAAUCUCAGAAAAGUCAUAGAAGCGCUUUCCAGGCAAGUGAAGGAACUCGCCAUACUCCUCCUCAGAACCAUCAGGUUUACGCUUGGUCUGGAGGAGCUGAAGGACGAGAGGGCGGCGCGUGCAGAUAUCAGAGGCAAGUGACUCAAGUACGCUGGACUUGCCACUACUCUGGCUUCCGACCACCGCCACCUGCGGCAACUCUAUGGUGGACUGGCUACCCAGCUGCGCGAAGAUGUCUUGUAGCUUGUUCACUAUCGGUAUAACGGAAGAUCCCAAAGGAGCCGCGGAUGAUUGAGGCGGCGUCGAUGCAGCUGCUUCUUCCGCCAUUGAAUUUCAAUGAUUGAUCGAUUGAUGAAAAGAUUUACAGAAUUUUAUAUGAAAAUUCUAUCAAGCUAGAUUUUGGAACUGACUCUUUAUUUUUCUUUCUCUUUUCUAAUGCUUUGUGUUUACUAAAGAUAAAAGAGAUCUUGAAGCUUUGAUCGUAUGAUUGAACUUGAAGCAGACUAUGUAAUUGUGGCUUGGGAAUUAUGUUAAUUAAUUUAUUAGUGUGGUAUUCAUUUUAGCUAUGCAUUCUCACAUGCUUCGGGAAAUCAAUAUGAAGUUCUAAUUUUGGUAUUUAUGUUAUAAAUAAAUAAAGUUUAAAAUAUGCUAAAAGAUCUUGUACCAUUCAUGGAUAUGGAUUUUAGCCCUUUAUUUUUAUUUUAAAGCUUUUGCUAUUCAAUCUCCAAAUUCCUAUUUCUCGGCAACUGCCCAGAUGUUUUUCUCCAUCAGUCAAAAAUAGGGUUCCUAAAUGCUACCGACCCAAAGCUUAAAAGAACAUGUUGCCAUCUUGGCCUUCCCAUUUGGCAGUCACGAUCUAACCGUCCUAAGACUGGCGUGCUGGUUAGCUUGUGCAGCUCCGAAUGUGCAGUUUUCUUUCCUAACCAUAGCGAAGUCUAAUGAUUCCAUGUUUUCAACUUUUAAACUUGAUAUCCCGAAUAAUAUCAGAGCUUACAAUGUGGAGGAUGGUGUGCCCGCAAAUCAAGUUUUUAGUGGAAAUCCAGUGGAGAGAUUGGACCUUUUCCUUAAAGCAACUCCUGCAAACUUCCAAAAGGCUUAGAUGUUGCAGUGAUUUAAACUGGAAGGAGGUGCUAGCUGCUUCGUCACGGAUAUGUUUUUGACAUUUGCUGCAGAUAUGGCCGAGGACCUGCAAGCUUUUCGGACAUGGUGGUGGUGACGAAAAUGGUGGCAAAUUCCAACCAAACUUUGGAAGUUAUUCCAGGGUUAUCUCCAAUGCACGAUAGACAUUCGAAAGAAACGUUCUUUUCUUACACAUUGAGUAAAAUCGGGUGUGUUUUACCUCGAUCUACCGCCAUUGUUAUGAAUUUCUGCCAAGAACUUUAUCCCACAACACUCUUUGAUGCUCUCAAGUCCAUGUUUCCAGCUUUGCUGAAUGUUGGUUUUCUUAACGCAAGAACUUCCCUUGCCUCCAUUACCACCAUCGGAUUCAGAUGCAACAGAGUGUUUAUCAUGGUUAGACAAGCAAAGUUCCAAGUCUGUUGUGUAUAUUAGCUUUGGUACAGCGGCAACGCCAGCAGGGUUGGAGUUAAAAGCCUUAGCGGAGGCAGUUGAAGAGAGGGGCAUUCCAUAUCUUUGGUGUCUCAAGGAUGACCACAAGCAUCAUUUACCGAAUGGGUUUAUUAAAAGGAUAAGCAAGCAAGGGAACUCGCUUCAACAGGCGUGUUUGUGACACAUUGUGGGGCGAACUCAGUGUUUGAAAGCGUCGCAAAUGGAGUCCCAAUGAUCUGCAGACCGAUGUUUGGGGAUCACUGGAUGAAUGGACGUGUGGUGGAGGAAAUAUGGGGAAUUGGUGUUAGAGUUGAGGGGCAUGUGUUCGCUAAGAGUGGGGUACUCAAGAGCUUGAAGAUCGUUUUAGGACAUGAACACGGGAAGCAAAUGAGAGAAAGGAUUAGAAUACUGAAAGAGCUUGUUUUGAAAGCAACAGAACCAAGUAGAAGUGCUUCACAAGACUUCAAAACUUUAGUAGAAACAAUUUUAAUUUCUCAAUCUGAAUCCAUUUUUCUGAAAAUGUAUCUAAUAAUAAUAAUUCAUAAUAUUAACAUUAUAUUCCGGCUCGCCCUUAAGCAAUGAAUUAAGUAUAACAGUAUCCAUCCAAUCCAGGAUAUUUAUGAAACAUCCCUAUAUAUUAAGUUAGGUUUUCAUUUUGAAUCUAGUCUCCCACUUCUAAAUCAACCCCAGGUCGUUAAAAUGAGUUAAAAAAAUAAAAGCAAUUAAAGUUUCAGAAGAUAAACUAAUCAGAAGGGCGGUUCGAAUUCAAGAUGGGUUUCCAAGCUUUUAUCAAAUUUGCAUUGAUGCUCUUGCAUGUUAAUUGUUUUUUUUUAUUAACAUGUUGAACUAUGGGUUUCCUAGCUUUUAUUAAGUUUGCAUUGAUUUGCCUUGAUUCUCUUGCGUGGUAAUUUUUUUUUAUAUUAACAUGUUGAAUAGUUAGGAUUUUGCUGUUUCUUCUGUUUACUUAUCUUACCUUUACUCUUUUGUUUUGACUUAUCAUAUUAAUGGUAUCCCAGUUUAUAACUUUAAAUUACAUUUCUUUGCUUCUUAACAGACAUGCUUCAGUUCAUGCAAUUGAAACUAAUUCGAACUCUGACACCAAGAAACUGGUUACCUACUGGGUAAUCUUCUAAUUUAUUUCCCUGUUUGAACAUGAUUUCAUGGGGAUGCUUCAUUGGUAAUAUUGCUACUCAGCAAAUGCAUGAACUUCUUCUGUUUGAUUUCUCUAUCGACAAAAUGUUGGGUUUUCAUUCAGUUAGAUCUUCCAUUUAUUGAAUUAUAUAUUUGUGUUGAGUAAUAUUUUUCUUGUAUGAUAUUAAGGGAAAUGCAGGGGUUAUUUAUACAUGUUCCUACUGUUACUAUUACGCUCACAAUAAAGCCUACUAUUUUGUCUCGGUCCUAGGUAUGAUGGCACUGACAUUCCCUGUCUCUGGUGCUAACAUUCCUUGGGCAUCCCUUGGCUUAUUGGACGCGUGUCUAUGAAGCACGCGGUCCUUUUUUUAUCUUAGGAUUGACUCCUCCGGCGAACCUCGUACCCACUAGUCACAAGUGGGGGUCCCUUGUAGGGCUCGCAAUCCCUUCUAUGGAUAUAGCUCACGACUUCAUUCCUGCAAGGCUUACGUGAGCUCUCCUCGUGAGCUAUCUUUGCAAACAUCUAGCAUCCCAACAGAGUCCCCAGCAAACUAUCUCUGUAGGCAAACAUUCUUCUUCCGGGUUGGGUUUAUCCGGGUCAGAGAUACGGAUCCUAUUGGGUCAUUUGGGCUGGCGGUUACCAAAUCCUAGCAAUCCAGUCUCCCUUUAGUGGGCCUAAGGGAUGUUAUAAAGUGGUGGGCCUUAGGUCCAUUUCGAACGUAGCUUGCAAGGUACGCCUCGGGCCAUGGUGCAAAACAGUUGCCUUGCCACGUGUGAAUCCAGAUAUUGGGCACGCACAUCUGACCAUUGAGAGAUGAACCACUUCUUCUUACUUGCAUUUGGGUCGUUGGUUCAUUUUUUGCCAUCCGAACGGUUUAAAGAACCUCUCAUUAAAAGGGGAGCUUUGGGGGUUUAGGUUUCUUCACUGUUUGGUAUUUUCUGCAAAUUGGAAUUGAGAAAAUUUUCACAAAUCCUUUCUACUUCUUAGUUUUCAUUAUUGUUUUCUUUUUACUUAAAUCAUGGUGAAGAUAAGAUGAGCCCACAACCAUAUCGUCUCGGUUCAUCGAACUUCACCCGUCGUAACUGAGAAGCCCUACAUUUGCACCACCACACCGGAGGAAAUAGAACGGGCUCUAGCUAUGUGGGGAAUCAAGCUUCCCCACAUUGCCUAUGAAUUUUCCAUUCCUUCAGGGUCGCACCGUGUGUGCGAGGCAACGGAUGAUAGUUUCCUUCUCCCAUUGCACGACAUAGAGGCAAGAUUCCACCUCUCCCUGCAACAUUUCUUUUGUAACCUCGUUAACAACUACCGCCUCACUUCUGGUGAACUCUCUAGUUUUUCCUAGUGGCUAGCAAUGGUGUACUUUCUCGAUAGCUGCCAGCGCGACGAAAUGCCGAUGCUAUUUGUCUUCCAGCACUUGUACCAGUUGAAUGGGACUGAUGUAGGGGAGUCAAUAGGGUUCUACUACUUUUCCCCUCGUCUGGAGGCGAGGGCAAUCAUAUGAAAUCAGUGUAAGAAUAUUCGACUAAAACGGGGGAAGUAUAUCCAAGUUCGCAGCAUCUUUGGCGAAGAUGUGGUCUUCCCCUAGUGAAGAUAUGCGCGCCUUUCAGAGGAGUCUUACGACUGAUGAGGUUGUCACGUAAUUUUAGAGGUUGCGUAUUGGUCACAUGCUGGUUAUGGAGGCGGUCCUGGCUGCGAGGAAUAUCUUCAGAUUCUGCCUGGAGGAUCUUAGCUCAAAUGGUUGAAGGGUUGGCGACAACCAAGAUGCCGCACAGUUAAUUGGUGGGCGACCAAUAAAAUAAUACAAUAUUUCUUUAUCUGGAAUACUAAGAGGGUGGAGGGACACCUUAUUGUGCAAUAUGGUUUGUCGCCUUUCUCAUAUAGGAUAGGUCUGUUGGGCUCGUCUUGUGUGCUGAGUAAAUUAUAUGUGUUUUCUAAACUUUUAACCAAUACAUAUAAUUUUAACCUACCCAAUAACUAUUUUUUCUAUUUCCAAAAAUAUUAUUUAUUUAUUUAUUUAUUCAAUUAAAUUACUUUUUUAACCCAAUUCUAAUUUUAUUAAAGUCAUAACAACUUUACCGCAUUAAGAUUUAUGAAGAAAUACAUUUAAUUUCCCAUUCAAUAAAACUAUCACGACUAUUUUAUUAAUUCUCACAUCAAAUUUUAAUAAAUUAAUUUCAAUCAAUUAAAUAAUAAUUCAAAAAAAUUUAAUUUAAUCUCUAAAUCAUCUUUUUGUACUUAGCGAGAAAAUACAUUCGCUGCAGAUAGUGAUACGACUUAUUUCUCUUAAUUGUUAUUUUCAUUCAUUUCAAAUUAUCGAUUUACAUGCAAUAUGUUUGGGUUAUGUCGAGCUAGUAGAGAGAUCGCUUUGACAUAUAAAAUAAGAGCUCAAAUAAUUUGUAAUUAAAUUCAGACUUUUUAUGUCACAUGUAACACCCCUAACUCGUAUCCGCUGCCAGAACAGGGUUUCGAAGCAUUACUACCAUUUGCAGAUCACUUAAAAAAAUUAAAAUACUUACCGAUUCAAUGCAUCAUAUAAAAUAAAUAUAUUACCAUUCAAUCAACAGUUUGGCACUUGUAUAAGCAUCAAACAACAACAUUGUUAGUAUACUUGCACAUAUCUCAUAUAAAUUCAACAUUGAUAUAUCUAUUUUUCUCGGCAUGUCGCAGUUGAGUUUAAUAAUAGUCUCAACUUACAUAAUUUCCUUGUAUCAACAUAUCAAAGAUAAUCAUAUAUGUACAUGUCAUGAAACAUAUCAUGCUCUUACCGUUUCUUCACAAGCAUAUAUCAUUCAUUUCAUUAUAUCAAUAGUUUAUGCUCCAACAUUUCCAUAUAUUUUAUGUAUAUUUAUUCUGGUAACAGCUUAUAUCAAACUUAACAUAAAUUAUAUUCCAUGUACUUAUACUUAUUUCGUUUAUCCAUUUUCAUAAUUAUUUCAUACAACGCUUUUGUACAUAUAUUUCCAUAUGACCAGUUCUUGUAAACAUUUCACACAACCAUUUCAUAUAACCAUUCGUCAUCUGAUACAUUUUACUUGAAUAUCAAUUGUUCAACAGACGUUAUAGCAUCUCCCAUCCACGGUCUUAUUUAUCUUUGACGUGAUGCCAUAGUGUCUUUCAACUAUGGUCUUACUCAUUUUCUGUCAUGUUGCCAUGGUAUCUUUCAACCAUGAUCUUAUUCUUUUCAUGUCACGUUGCCAUGGUAUCUUUCAACCAUGGUCUUACACAUCUCAUAUCAGGUUGCCAUGGUAUCUUUCAACCAUGGUCUUUCACAUUUCAUAUCAGGUUGCCAUGGUAUCUUUCAACCAUGGUCUUAUUGUAAUACCCCUACCCGUAUUCAUUGCCGGAAUAGGGUACGAGGCAUUACCGGAGUUUACGAAUUAAUUUUUUUUUUCAAUUCAACAUAUUUUCAUGAUAGAUUCAUGCAUUUAUAUAAGAUAACGUCAUCACAUAUCUAUAACCAGGUUUGUUAACCAUACUAAUGGCUAACUUUACAUUCAUUUCACGUUAACAUUUACUUUGUUAGCUUAUACAUGCCAUUGAUUUUCAAAAUAAAGUUUCUUUAUAUACCGAAAUCCUGAGGUUGACAGCGUGAUGUAUCUCUGACCAAAUCCGACCUCCGAGCUCUUAACACUACAAAACAGGGAAAAAGGAAACGGGGUAAGCACUUUGUGCUUAGUAAGCUCAUGUAACAAGAAUUAUACUUACCUAAUAUUUUCAAUACAAUAUAAUAAACAUUCAUAUAUCCAUUCAAUGCAUUAUUACCCUAACAUGCACAAACUCAACAUUCAAGUUAGUACAAUAAUUUUCAUGUAUCAAUAAUAUAUAUACCAUGAUUGAUGUACUCAUCAAUACCAUGAUUUUCAUUCCCUUAUUAUUUUUCAUAUUUAUCCCGUUGAAUUUAUCGAAAUUUCGAUGGAUUUUCAGAUAUACACUUUUAGUGUACAAUUCCGGGUCCGUCAAUUCAUAUUCAUAUGCGCACAUUUCUAUUUCAGAGAGCACACUCCCGCGAACCUCAACCUUGCAGCGGGAUUACCAGUCCAGGCUAAAUCCCCUGCAAUAUAAACUCAUAGAGUAUUGUCGGGAUUACCAGUCCAGGCUAAAUCCCCUGCAACGACAAUUACUCUAAUGAGCUUGGAUCUGAAUUACCAGUCCAGGCUAAAUUCAGACCCUAAUUCGGAUUACCCGUCCGGGUUAAAUCCAUUUUACACAUAUUCUUCGGGAGGGCUAUAUCAGGAUAGGAUCACCCGUCCGGGCUAGAUCCUUUUUACCGUCAAUUCCUUUUCAGAGAUCCAUCGAAUUUUCCUUUCAUUCAACCGGGAUUUCUUCCCAUUUUAUCAAAUAUAUCAAUGUUUCAUUAAUUUUCAUACAAUGAACACUCAAAUCAUAUUCACAUCAAUAACAAACAAUCUCAAGCAUUUAAGAAUAUAAUUUAAGUUACACGAACUUACCUUGAUACUUGUUUGUAAACAGUAAAAAUCUAUUAAUCCCGAACUUUUUCCUUUCCUCGAUCUAGCUUCGUAUUUGAAUCUUCUGGAUCUAAAUAAAUAAAUUUAAUUAUCAAUUUAAUACAUUUCAUGUUCAUAUGCAACAUUCUCUAUAAUUCAACUAUUAUUUAUAGUUCAUUCAAAGCUGUCUACUUGAGUCAUAGUCACUAAAUUAUUUAUAAAUUGAGCUACGGAACUCCAAAUUAAGAUCCGUUAAUUUUUCCUGAAACUAGACUCAUAUAUAUUUUUACCAUAAAAUUUUCAGAAUUUUUGGUUUAGCCAAUCAGUACAGUUUAUUCUUCAAAGUCACCCCUGUUCUGUUGUCUAACAGUUCUGACCCUUCUUCACUAAAAAUAAAUUAUCUCUUCAUACGGAAUUCAAAUGAUGUUUUUGUUUGUUUCUAUUAAAAAUAGACUCAUUAAGAAUUCUAUACAUAUAAAUUUAAGUCCCUAAUUAUUUUUAUUCAAUUUUUUAUAAUUUUUCAAAGUCAGAACAGGGGAACCCGAAUUCAUUCUGACCUUGUCUCACAAAAUUCAUUAUAUCUGAAAAUUUAAAAAUCCAUUGCUUACAAUAUUUCUUCUAUGAGAAACUAGACUCAAUAAGAUUUAAUUCCAUAUUUUUUUCAUCUUCUAAUUCUAUUCCUACAAUUUUUGGUGAUUUUUCAAAGUUAGUCUACUGCUGCUGUCCAAACUGUUUUAGUGCAAGCUGUUUAUUACCAUUUUUCCCCUAAGCUUUUAAUAAAUGAUAAUUUCGUCCCUAUUCAAUUGGCCUCUCAAUUGAGCUUAUUUUUUUCAAUUAACAUUUUAUUCUAUCACCUUAAACUAGUUUACAACCUUUAGGAAUUAGAAUUUCAGCAAUAGACUUUAAUUCCAAAAAUUUUCACAAUUAGGUCCCAAAAAUCAAUUUCCAUUGAAAUUGCCUAAUAAAAUCAUCUCAUAAACAAAUUAAAGCUUUAAUUUCAUUCUAUUUCAUCAUAAACUUACAGAACUCAACCAUGGUGACUUUAAAUUUCAUCCAUGAAAUCAAAAACUAAUGAAUUUAAUAGUAGGAUCUAGUUGUAAAAGUCUUAGAAACACAAAAAUUACAAGAAAAAGGCAAGGAUUAACUCACUUGGUGCAAAAAUUAUGAAAUACCAGCUUAGAGAACCCUCCUAUGGCGGUUUUAGCUGCUGGAAUUGAAGAGAAAUGAAGAAAAAUCUAGAUAUUUCCUUAUUUAGUCCUAGUUUUAUUUAGUUAAUUUUGUAAUAUUCCAAUUUUACCCUUAAUUUAUCAAUUUUUCUGCUGAUUUCUUACCCUUGCCGUCCAGCCCAAAUAACUUUUGGGUCUAAUUGCCUUUUAUAUCCUUUCUCAUUAGACUAAUAAGCUAUUUAAUCACUCUAGUAACUUUUGCACCUAUUACAAUUCAGUCCUUUUCAUUUAAUUGACUACCCAAACAUUAAAAUUUCCUAACGAAAUUUUAAUACCACAUUAAUAACAUUUCAUAAAUAUUUAUAAAAUUAUUUUUGACUCGUUUUUACGAGAUAGAGGUCCCGAUACCUUAUUUUACCCAAUUUCUUCAAUAAUUUCUUUUUCUAACUAAUCACUAAAUUGAUAAAAUUUUCCUAUCAAUAUUUUCAUACGAUUUUCCUAUCAUAUAAAUUUUCAAGCAAAAAUAUUGAAAUAAAUUUCUCUUUAAAUCGGAUUUAUGGUUACGAAACCACUGUUCCGAUAACAUUGAAUUUACGCCAUUACAACUCUCCCCCCCUUUUAAGGAUUUUCGUCCUCGAAAAUCUUACCAGUAAAGAGGUUUGGGUAUUGUUUCCUCAUUGCCUCCUCCGGUCCCCAUGUUGCUUCCUCAAUCCCGUGCUUUUGCCACAAUACUUUCACCAAAUUUAUCUUUUUAUUUCUAAGCUCUUUUGUCUCCCAUGCCAAUAUCUUGACCGGUUCUUCACUGUAAGUCAUAUCCGGUUGAAUCUCUACUUCUGUCGGAGAAAUAACAUGUAAAGGAUCUGAUCGAUAUCGUCGUAACAUAGAUACAUGAAAAACAUUAUGGAUUCUAUCAAGUUCCGGUGGUAAUGCCAAUCGAUAAGCGACCGGUCCAAUUCUUUCUAUGAUUUUAUAUGGCCCGAUAAAUCUUGGACUCAAUUUACCCUUUCGACCGAAUCGAAGAACUUUCUUCCAAGGAGACACUUUCAGAAAUACCUUGUCACCGACUUGAAAUUUAAUCUCUUUUCGCUUAAGGUCGGCAUAUGAUUUUUGACGAUCGGAAGCUGCUUUUAGACUAUCUCGAAUAACCUUUACUUUUUCUUCUGUUUCCCAGAUCAAAUCAACCCCAUGUAUCUUCCUUUCACUGAGCUCUGUCCAAUAUAACGGUGUUCUACAUUUUCUACCAUACAAAGCUUCAUACGGAGCCAUUUUAAUACUAGACUGAUAACUGUUAUUGUAAGCAAAUUCAAUCAAAGGUAGAUACAUCUCCCAAUUACCUUCAAACUCUAGUAUACAACAUCGGAGCAUAUCUUCCAAUACUUGAAUUACACGCUCAGAUUGACCAUCUAUCUGAGGAUGAAAUGCGGUGCUGAAAUACAACUGAGUACCCAAGGCUUCUUGCAAUUUGUCCCAGAAACGAGACGUAAAUCGGGGAUCUCUAUCUGAUAUAAUGGAGACAGGCACUCCAUGUAACCUGACAAUCUCAGAUAUGUACAGUUCAGCUAGUUUAUCUAAAGAAUAAUCCAUACGUACCGGAAUAAAGUGAGCUGACUUUGUCAAUCGGUCUACAAUCACCCAAAUAGCAUCUUUUUUCCUCGGAGACAAAGGUAGCCCCGAUACAAAAUUCGUAGUGAUUCUUUACCAUUUCCAUUCCGGUAUAGUAAUUGGCUGAAGUAACCCCGAAGGUACCUGAUGUUCAGCUUUAACUUGUUGACAUAUUAAACACCUUGAUGCAAACUCAGAGAUAUCACGUUUCAUUCCCGACCACCAGUACAUCUUUUUCAGAUCAUUAUACAUUUUAUUACUCCCCGGAUGUACAGACAUAGUACUACUGUGGGCCUCGCGUAGAAUCUUCUGUAUGAGCUCUGAAUUCUGAGGUACACAUACCCUACCUCUGAAUAAUAAACAAUCAUCAGAACCAAUCUAAAAUUCAGAAUCAUUACCUGACUCACACUGUGCCCGUUUAACCUGUAACUUCUCAUCAUUCUUCUGAGCUUCACAUCUCGGUUUAGCUCUCAAUUCAGCUAGGAUUGAACCAUCAUCAGUCAAUGAUAACCGGGUAUUCAUAGCUCGUAAAGCAAACAGAGAUUUCCGGCUCAAAGCAUCAGUUACAACAUUAGCCUUACCCGGAUGGUAAUCAAUAAUCAAAUCAUAGUCCUUUAUCAGUUCAAGCCACCUGCGCUGUCUCAAAUUCAAAUCUUUCUGUGUCAUCAAAUAUUUCAAGCUUUUAUGAUUAGUAUAAAUAUGACAUUUCUCACCGUACAAGUAAUUCCGCCAUAUCUUCAGCGCAAAUACAAUAGCAGCUAAUUCAAGAUCAUGUACUGGGUAAUUUCUUUCAUGUGGUUUAAGUUGUCUUGAAGCAUAGACUAUUACUUUACCUUCUUGCAUCAAAACACAACCUAAACCAUUUAAUGAGGCAUCACUGUAAAUAACAAAUUCCUUACCCAGUUCAGGCUACACUAAUACAGGUGCUUUCGUUAAUAGGUCUUUCAAUCGGUUGAAACUUUGUUGACAUUCAUCAAUCCACUCGAACUUUACAUCUUUCUGCAAUAAUCGAGUCAUUGGAGAAGCUAUCAUAGAGAAUCCCUGUACAAAUCUCCGAUAAUAACCAGUUAAACCCAAGAACUUCUAACUUCAGAUACAUUCUUCGGUGGACUCCAAUUGACAAUAGCUGAGAUUUUACUUGGAUCUACCCUGAUGCCUUCGGCAGAUACAAUGUGUCCAAGAAAACUCACUUCUCGAAGCCAAAAUUCACAUUUACUGAAUUUAGCAUACAACUGCUUCUCUCGUAGAAUUUGCAACACAAUUCUCAAAUGUUCUGCAUGUUCUUCUUCAUCCCGAGAAUAAACCAAAAUAUCAUCAAUGAAUACUACUACAAAUCUGUCUAAGUACGGUCUAAAUAUCCGAUUCAUCAAAUCCAUGAAUACUGCAGGUGCAUUAGUUAGCCCAAACGGCAUAACUAGAAACUCAUAAUGCCCGUACCUGGUUCUAAAGGUUGUUUUUGGCACAUCUGACUCCUUUACCCGUAACUGAUAAUAACCUGAUCGAAGAUCAAUCUUUGAAAACAUAGUAGCACCUUUCAGCUGAUCAAAUAAAUCAUCAAUCCGGGGUAACGGGUACUUAUUCUUUAUGGUUACUUUAUUAAGCUGCCGGUAGUCGAUACACAAUCUCAAAGACCCAUCUUUCUUUUUCACAAACAGAACCGGAGCACCCCAAGGUGAAUGACUCGGUCGAACAAAACCCCUGUCAACAAGCUCUUGCAAUUGUGUCUUUAACUCUUUUAAUUCUAUAGGAGUCAUCCGGUACGGAGCUAUGGAGAUCGGAGUAGUUCCCGGAAUCAAAUCUAUAGAAAAUUCCACUUCUCUUUCUGGUGACAAUCCUGGUAAUUCUUCUGGAAACACAUCAGAAAAUUCACAUACCACUGGAACUGCCUGUAUCUUUGACUCAGAUACCUUGGUGUCGAGUACAUAAGCCAAGUAAGCAUCAUACCCCUUUUUGACAUACCUCUGUACUGCCAUUACUGAAAUCAUAUCAGACAACCCCUCUGUCUGAUCAGAUUUAACCCGGAGCAACUCACCAUUCUGACAUUUUAACACAAUAUAUUUUUGUUUACAAUUUACUGUCGCAUCAUGCUGGGUUAACCAAUCCAUACCCAAUAUCAUGUCAAAUUCAUCAAAUGACAGUAAUAUCAAAUCAGCCGGGAAACAAUAACCUCUUACCAUCAGUGGACAAUUUUUACAAAUUUUAUCCACUAACACAGACUGGCCCAGGGAGUUCGAGACUUUAACCACAAAUUCAGUAGGUUCAACAGAUAAAUUUUUAACAAUUGCAAGUUUAACACAUAUAUAUAUAUGAAUGCGUAGAACCAGGAUCAAUCAAUGCAGUAAUAUCAGUAUCAAGUAAAGAAAAUGUACCAGUAAUAACAUCGGGUGCUGAAGCAUCUUCUCUGGCACGAAUGGCAUAUGUCCUAGCAGGUGCUCGUAUCUCAGGCCUACCUAUAGUAUCUUUUGUAGCUCCUCGACUACCACUGAUAUUACCGGAUGGUCGAGGUGGUCUGCCCCUCGAAACUAGAUUACUCGGCUUCGAUAUAUGUUCAACUUCUUUUUCAACCCUUUCUGGACAAUCUUUGAGGAAAUGGUCAAAAGAACCAAUUCGGUAACAAGCCCCACUCUUAAAUCGGCAUUCACCAAAAUAAACUUUAUUACAGUACUAGCAUCUCGGUUUAGGAGUGCCAACACUGUCAACACUGGUCACUGAUGGAGUAAAAGGCCUUGGAUUAGUGCGUUGAGAACCUCGUUCUUUGCCCGAAUACCCAAUGGCUGAAGUAGAACGAUCCUGAUAUUUCUUCAAUUUCUUUAAAGCAGAAAACUGGGAUUUUCCCAUCGGUCUUUUACUAAAAAUUCGAGCUUCCCUCUCAGCCUGUUUCUUUUCUUUGCUCAAUUCUUCUGGUUUAUAAGCUCUCUCUGCCAAUGUAACGAACUCUCGAAUUUCAAGAAUUUUGAUCAGUAACUUAAUGUCUUCAUUCAACCCUUCUUCGAAUCGUUUGCACAUUUCAACUUCUGACUGUACCCAUUCUCGAGCAUAUUUACUCAAUCGAACAAAUUCUCUUUCAUAUUCAAAUACUGAUCUAUUGCCCUGUUUUAGCUCAAGAAAUUCUUUUCUUUUCUGGUCAAGGAACCUCUGGCUGAUAUAUUUUUUUCUGAACUCGGUCUGAAAGAAUUCCCAUUUAAUUUCUUCUUUCGGAACAACUGAAGCUUUAGUAUUCCACCAAUGGUAAGCUGUAUCUUUUAGCAGUGAGACGGCACGUUUCAGACAUUCUUCUGGUGUACAAGAUAAUUCUUCCAGAACCCGAGUAGUAUUUUCUAACCAGAAUUUAGCCCGUUCGGAAUCAUCAUCAACUGCUGCUCAAAAUUCUUCGGCCCCAUAUUUUCGAAUUUUAUCUACUGGAGCUUUCCCUUUUCUGACAGAUUCAGUACCUCCAGUCUAGGCUAAAUCCCCUGCAACAACAAUUACUCUAAUGAGCUUAGAUCUGAAUUACCAGUCCAUGCUAAAUUCAGACCCUAAUUCGGAUUACCCGUCCGGGCUAAAUCCAUUUUCCACAUAUUAUUCGGGAGGGCUAUAUCAGGAUAGGAUCACCCGUCCGGGCUAGAUCUUUUUUACCGCCAAUUCCUUUUUAAAAAUCCGUCAAAUUUUCCUUUCAUUCAACUAGGAUUUUUCCCAUUUUAUCAAAUAUAUCAAUAUUUCAUUAAUUUUCAUACAAUGAACAUUCAAAUCAUAUUCAUAUCAAUAACAUACAAUCUUAAGCAUUUAAGAAUAUAAUUCAAGUUACACGAACUUACCUUAUUGCUUGUUUGUGUUUAUAAUUUCAUUAAUCUGAUAUCUUUUCUUUUCCACGAUUAAAUCUCAUAUUUGAGUCAUCCGAAUCUUUAUAAAUAAAUUUGAUCGUCAUUUUCAUUCAUUUCAUAUUAUAAUGCAUUUAAUUAAUACUUUAGGCAAAAUUACCAUUUUGCCCCUAAACUUUUAAUUAAUGACGAUUUCAUCCUUAGGAUCAGGAAAAUAAAAUUCUUGCAAUUUAAUCCUUAUUUCCAACUAUUAUUCUCAUAUAUAUUGAUAAAAAUCCAUGAAUUCUAUAAAAUAUCAGAAUUUUUCAUAAUUUCAACACUUUUCAAUUUAAUCCCUAAAACAUGUUUUCCCCCGAUCUUGAACUAAAUUAAUAAUUUCAUUCAAGUUUUUAAUUUAAAUAAUACAAUAAUCCAUUUCAUGCAAUUUGGUCAUUUCUGACAUGUUUACAAAAUUUCCCAUAAAGUUUUACUUUUAUUCAAUUUAGUCCCUGAGCUUAAAAUAUGCAAAUUAGCCAUGCUAGAUGAAUAUUAAUACAUAUUUUUCCUCCCCCUCCUCUCCAUUCCACAUCCUUAAUGUAGAUAACACACUUGUAAGUAACAUUAUCCAUAAUUUUUAUUAUUUACUUUUAUGAAUAUUCAAGCUGUCUAUCUGCAUCAUAGUCACUAAAUUAUUUAUAUCUGGAUCUAUAGAACUCCAAAUUAAUAUCCGAUAAUUUUCCCUGAAUCUAGACUCAUAUAUAUUCUUACCAUAAAAAUUUCAGAAUUUUUGGUUUAGCCAAUAAGUACAUUUUAUUCUUUAAAGUUACCCCUGUUCUGCUGUCUGACAGUUCUGACCCUUCUUCACCAAAAAUUAAUUAUCUACUCAUACAGGAUUCAAAUGAUGUUCUUGUUUGUUUCUCUUAAAAAUAGACUCAUUCAGAAUUUUAGACAUAUAAAUUUAAGCCCCUAAUUAUUUUUCUUCAAUUUUUUAUGAUUUUUCAAAGUUAGAACAGGGGAACCCGAAUUCAUUCUGACCUUGUCUCACAAAAUUCAUUAUAUCUCAAAAUUUACAAAUCUAUUUCAUAAGAUUUAAUUUCAUAUUUUUUUCAUCUUCUAAUUCGAUUUCUACAAUUUAUGGUGAUUUUUCAAAGUUAGUCUACUGCUGCUGUCCAAACUGUUUUUGUGCAAGCUAUUAAUUACCAUGUUAUAACACCCUUAUUUUCUUUUUCUACACCAUUUCUCAUCACUUUCUCUUAUUUUCUCUUCACUAACAUAUAAAAAA
rnacentral:lncRNA from 1 species